rnacentral:lncRNA from 1 species
UUUUGGUCAUUAUCAAAUGAAAUCUUUUAUUUAUUCGAAUUUUACUGCCAACACAAUAAUAUGUAUAUAUUACUUACAUUACACAUCGGUGGCACCAACGUACCAGAGGCACCUCCGAUGAUGGCUAGAGAAGAUCGCUAGAGGUGGUGGUCAUGGUAUAAUAGUGUACACCGAAAGGUCCGAAACCAUAUAAUAGUGUAUAUCAAACAUAUAAUAAUAUUUGGAAUAAUUUUGUGUUAUCUAAAUUACAAUGAAAACUGGUAUGAAACAUAAAAGACGGAAACUUGGGUAAACUUGGGUCAUAUAGAAUCGAACAAUAAUAUAAUACUAUUAUCAUGCGUAUGUUUUUUUUGACAAAAUUUUGAUUAUCUCUUUGAAUCAUUUGAAGUUUGACAUCAUUCAUUAGAUCAUUUCAUUGUGCGGAUAUUUGGCUCUUCAGAUCUAAAUAACAUUACCAUAUUAAUUAUAAUGAAAUCAAAUAAAGCAGUAACCACCAUUCAUUAUUCACUGCUUAUGCAUUUGUCACAUACGUAGUAAAUAGAAAUUAAAGCAACAACAUUAUUUAGAGGAUUAUAUAUCAAGCACACACUUCUUUGUAAUACGGUAGGUUCUUAGAUGUUCAUUCAUCAUCGUCAAGUCCCUUCAAAGUCCAAGACGGCUUCUGGCAACCAGGAUUCAUGCCACUCUGAGCGUGACCGUAGUUUGGGCCAGGAGCUCCAUAGCCGUGCCCAUGUGUGAGCUUUUCAAAAUGGUUCAUAACACCACCUCCAUGUCCAUUUGAAUUUCCAAAACCAUGUGAAUCUCCAUAGCUGUGUGAUUUACCAAAACCAUGUGGACUCCCUAGGCCAUGACCUUGUGGGCUUCCAUGGCCUUGUUGGCUUCCAUGGUUGAAUGAGUUUUCAUAUCCAUGUGAUUUACCAAGACCAUGUGGACUCCCUAAGCCAUGACCAUUUGGGCUUCCAUGGCCUUGUUGGCUUACAUGGCUGAAUGAGUUUUCAUAUCCAUGUGAUUUACCAAGACCAUUUGGACUCCCUUGGCCAUGACCAUGUGGGCUUCCAUGGCUGAAUGAGUUUUCAUAACCUUGUGACUUUCCAUAGCCAUGUGAAUUUCCUCCAUAUCCACCAGCAGCACUGGGCUUGACUGGAUGGCUGGGUCCAUGGCCAUGCUGGUAUUCAUCACCAGCAGACCAAGUAGAUUGGUAUUGUGAAACAUGGCUUGAUGGGUAAGUUGAAACUUGAGGAUAAGUCGGGUAUGGGGUUGUCUGGGCUGCAGUUAUUCCGUGGAAGUUGUUGUUGAAGUAGCCAUCAGCCCCUUGGUGUGUUGGAUAGUUGUUCUGCUGGUAGCCACUAGGGUAACGUUGAACCUCAAGAACCAUUUUUUUUUCUUUGAAAAAAAAAUGUACGUCAAAUUUAAACCUGUGUUGCUGAUGGUUUUUCUAUACUCUUGCUUCAUCCUAUUUAUAGGGUUAAGCCCAUGAUUCCAAAUAAGUCGAAAGAUGCAUUACGUCUCUUGUCAUGGGAAUAUCACCCCACAUUCAGUGGUCAUCUUUUUAUCGAAUUGAAAGGUAUUUACAACUUUAUUCCCAACUUAUUGAAUGACUAUAGAUUCUGAUUUAGAACACCCAAAUGUAGUCAUAUAUACUAAUGCAUUAUCGUGUUUAGAACUUGUACUGUUUGAUGGCUUGCCAACUUACUAUAUUGAAGAAAACUAACAAAAGAUACUUUUCAUUUCCUCUUAUCCCAUGUUAUUCCACAUUAUGAUGCAUCAGUUCUAUUCCCUUAUCGUCCUUUUUCGUGAUUUAUUUCCCUCAAUUAUAUAUAUUCCUAUUCUUUUCCUUCCACUUGUCUUGUAUUUUGGAAAAUGUAGUAAUCAAAAUUUCAUGUCACAUCACAUACACAAUGAUGAGCACGAAAGGAACCAUGCUUGAGCAAGAUACAACUACGCUUCAAUAAACUCACCAAACAUAUAAUAAAAUAUAAAAUGCAUUUUAAUACCAUCUUAUAUAUAUUGCGUUGAAAAUGUACAUCCACGAAUGCUCUAACUUUUAUGAACUUUUAACUCUUACAUUUCUUAUUUGUUUGCUUUUGCAUUUUUAUUAACAGAUUAAUUACAAAUGAAGAGCGAUACAAAUGGCAUCAUGUAUAUAAUAUAUUAUAUAUAAAUAAAACAAUCGUCAUUCCCUAAUUAACCUCCAUGGUUCGUUCCACUUAAAGAACAUGAAUACCCCUAAAAAGAACAUGAAUUUUGUUGCAGCCUAACCCAGCCCAAUCCAAGGCCCAAAUGAUUAUCUUACAAGAUCGUUCUUUGUUGUUACUUGCGCUUCUGGUUGUACUUACGUACAUCAGGAGGAUGAAGAAAAUUGUGGACAAGGAGGAGGAAGUAGCUCAUAUGUUGGAUGCACCUGACUGUAAGUGCUAUGUUUAUGGUUUAGAGCUGCUCCUGUAACGAACGGGUGCCUCAACAACUGCGCCGCCGUCCAUCUCCUCGCCGGAUCCUUCUGCAAACAGCAUGCAACAAAAUCUCUGAACUCACGAGAAGCAGUCGCCGGCGCUUUUGGUGGCUGUGACAUGCAAAUUGCACACAUAAGGCUCGCCCAAUCACCCUGUCUUCCGACGGUAAACGGAAAACGCCCCAGAUAGAAUUCCAAAAUGCUCACCCCCACGCUCCAUAUAUCUCCGGCGCACCCGUCGUAUUUUCCUUCGUUCAGGUCGGUGUUUAUUCUUUCCGGGCUCAUGUAAGCAAUCGUACCCACCGCAGAAUUACAGGGAUCCAUCGUUUGUUCCAAGAUUCUCGAAACCCCAAAAUCCGCAAUCUUCACUUGUUUCUUGGAAUUAAUCAACAGAUUGGAAGGUUUUAUAUCACGGUGGACGAUCUUUCGCCGGUGGAGGUAGUAAAGUCCGGAGAUAAUCUGACGGGUGAGAUCGGCCAACAAGGACUCAUCGGACAAGUGGGUGCCUUGAAGGCAACCACCGUCCAUGUACUCAAGAAGCACCUGAAUCUCACCGGCACGAUCAAACAUGUCGUGACACUUGACGACGUUAAGGUUGUCGACCCCACGUAGAAUCUCGAUUUCUCGACGGAUCUGAUGGCGGGCAUCGUCGUCGUGGGUUCCAUAGAUUACUUUGAGAGCGAAGAGCGUGUCGGUAGGGCGAUGGAGGACUUUGUAAACAGUACCGCCACUGCCGCUUCCGAUUCUGUUGAUCCGAUGGAGGUCGGAAAAGUUGAUGUGUUGGUGUUGGAGGGCGGAGGAGGGUGGGAGAGGGAGAGGAACGGCGAUCUGGGGCUGGGGUAAAGGUAAAGGUAAAGUUAAGUCAAGACGACGUCGAGGGCGACUAUUGGUGUUGUUGUUGUUGUUGGGCUUCAUUGACUAGACCAAAUAAUUAAAGUGAUUCAGAUUUCAGAGCGUUGGUUGAUGCAUAGACUAGACGAUCGAUGUAUAUGUAUAUAUAAUAUAUGACGAAUAAUAAACCUAAAGACGAAGAAGUAAGGAAAGGGUUUAGGGUUUGAAGUUGUGAUCUGGUGAAGGUUCUGGGAAGAAGAUGAAGGUUGGAAUAAUUCUACUCAUGUGUUUCGGAGAAUUGAUGGGUGUCGAAAAAACUAAGUAUGUUACUCAUUUAUUGCCUCAAGGUCAACGUUGUUAUCUCUUUUGGAGGUAUAUAUGUGUAAAAAUUUAAUUAGAAACGUAUUGUAUUUGAUAUCCUUAGUUUUCGUGAAAAUGAUGUUCGAUGUUGAAAAUACAUGCUUGCUAGAUACGGAAUAUAGUUUUUUUAUUAAUAAAGAAAAAAUAUAUAUAUAUUAAGAACAUGACUAAAGCGUGGUAUUAAAUCCAUUUAGAUGAUAGUUAAAAAAACGUUCUUGAACUAGUCCACUACACUACAGUAUUCAUGGUUUUAAAGGAUCUGGGGACUACAUGGUCACUUCUGAAUUAGAACCUUUGGUAUUAGAUUUGAACUCGGGAUCUCUUGUAUGAAAAUGAAAAGUUUAUCUUUUGUUUUCUCAACGGCUUGGUUAUUCAGGCUGUGGUAUAGAUACUAGAGUUAAUUAAGUCGAAAUGAAUUGGUUUUUUUGUGCAUAUGUAUGUAUGUGAUAAAAAUUACAUUUAGAUAUAUAAAGUAAAAAAAAAACGUAUUGUUACUAAUGAUUGACGAGUAAAAAUAAUAAAAGGAGAGGGGUGACUUUUUCUUUUGAGCAAGAGCAAGAGUCCAGAUGGAGGAGGAACAAGUCAUAAAAGAAAUGGUCUCAUUGUAUUUCUAAUCCAUCUCUCCCUCCCAAAUUGGACUCGAAAAACACACAACAGUUGACUGCUAACUUAAUCCCAUUCUCACACCAACUUCAUUAAUUCCUUUAUUAUUAUCAUUCUAUUUUUAUUUCUUUGUACAAGAAUUUCUAAAUUAAAAGAUGACAGAAAUUUGUCCUUUACAUACAACAUACGUACCCGACAAAAGCAUAAAGUUAAUAGAUUGACGCCUGCCAUGUUUGUCCAUGUGGCUCUCCACUAUGUGAUGAUAGCGGAGAGGAGCAAAGUGUUUGCCGAUGUUACUAAACAACCAUUUUCAAAAUCGCCUCACAUCGCCUUCUCUUAGCCACCCUUGAUUAAUUUUGCGUCACUAGUGAGGAGGUGCUUACCACACUUACCUACCGAGAUAAGCCAUCGGGUAUCAUGUUGGUUCGUAUAAAAUUUUAGAUAAGUUAGUGAACACUUUUGUCAUACAACAACAAACAUAGUAGUAUUUAAUUAUCCUGGAUCCAUCCACGCCUUAUAACUUAUCGUUUGUCUUUUGACAUUUCAUUUAUUUUAGUACAAACCAAGAGUACAUAUUAUUUACAGGUUUCGUUGAUGAGGUAUUAGAUAUCUAGAAACAAAGACAAGGAACUAGAUAUCCAGAAACAAUGACAAGGAACGGUGGUGAAACAACGUUAUUAUUAAUAUCAAAAGUAAAAACUCUUCUACUUGUAAGAUCAAAUGCUAAACGAUUUUUUUUCCAAACGAAACAAUUAGCAUUUAUCGGUAGCCAAUUAUUCAAUAGAAACCAGUAAGAAUGUGAUUGUAAGAGGCUUUAUCGAUGGUUCUCUUGAAGAUUGCACAUAGACGAUACCCUGCGAAUUUCCAAGUCAGGCCCACGAAUCAUUUUGAUUUGACAUGAUAUUAUGUUCUUGAAAGAGUGCUAAAAGAUCCAUCAAUUGUUGUGAUUCAACUCCCGUUUUCAUGCAAAUUUUAUUCGAUUUAGUUAUGUAUAAAUGAGGGAAUCUAUUUUUUAAUGUUGCAUUUCCAAUCCAUACAUCUUUCCCAUACAUAGUUCUUGAACCAUUGUUGACUUUCUGUAACACCUUGAUCCGAGUAUUUUUCAUUUCUACCUUUAGUAUGAAAUUUAAUUGAAAAAUUGGUCCCUUGGCUCAUUAAGUGAAAACGUGCCUUCAGUUGAGUACGAUGGGCGUACGUGAUUGAUGUCCAAACCCUAAUUUUUAGGGUUUGAUCCCUAUUUAAACAUCAUUAACUUUUCAAUGUCUUUUCCCUCAUCAACCUCCAUCUCCCAAUUCGUCCCUAGCAAACCCUAAUCCAUUGUGUGAGCAUUUUGAGUUUGAGAUAGUGUACUUUUGUGUUCUUCAAGGAAAGAGAAGAUAGUAGAUUCAUCUUGGAAGCGCAAGACAACUUAGAUCCAGAAGUAUCUCCCCCUUAAGCAUGAUUUGAAGGUAUAAAGGUUGGAUCUUGAUGUGUUAUUUUGCUAGUCUAGAGUUUAUGUACACUUUUGGUCCCAUAGUUUGGUCUAGUGGAGUAUGAGCUACUCCAGGUACUUGAAAUGUAGUUAUCUAUAGUUUUGAGAUCAUAGAUUCAUAAAAAUGAGAGUUUUGGCAUCCUCGUUAAUCCAUGCAAGAGUUUUGGGACUUUGGAUGACUUUUAGACCAAGAGUUUGAGUUUUUACCCUCAUGUAUGCAUGCAAAUGGAUAAAGUCAGAGACUUUAUCCAUUAAGACUUCCCUUUUUACCUGGAUUUGAAGUUUGGUGUUUUGGCUGAAUCAAAAAAGCUUAAUGUAUAUUAUGAAUUGUACAAGAUCGGACUUAGCAUAUAGUGUAAGUAGAUUUAGUCGAUACUCCCACAAUCUUGGGAAAGAUCAUUGGUAUGCAUUAGUGAGAGUGCUUAGAUAUUUAAAGCAUACAAUGAAUUAUGGAUUGCAUUAUACGAGAUAUCCUCCUAUUCUUGAAGGGUAUUGUGAUGCAAAUUGGAUUUCCAAUACUUCAGAGGCAAAAUCCACAAGUGGAUAUGUGUUCACUCUAGGUGGAGUUGCUAUCUCUUGGAAAUCAUCUAAGCAAACUAUGAAUACUCGUUCUACAAUGGAAGCAGAGCUUUUUGCUUUAGACAAAUUUGCUAAAGAAGUUGAAUGGCUUAAAAGCUUCGUAAAAGGUAUUCCUCUAUGGCCUCAACCUGUUACUGCCAUUGGCAUACAUUGUGAUAGUAUGGCUGCUUUUACUAGAGCACAAAGUCAUAUAUACAAUGACAGGUCGAGACACAUUAGGCACAGACAUAUUACAAUAAGACACUUGUUGAAGAAUGGAAUCAUUUCCAUUAGUUACAUAAAGUCGAAGGAAAAUAUAGUUGAUCCCUUGACAAAAGGCCUAGGUAGAGAGCAAGUUCUCUUCACAUCGAGGGGAAUGGGCUUAAAUCCAACACAAUGAGUCACCACCUGGCGGAAACCUAACCUAGCAACAUUGGAGAUCCCAUGGUCUAGGUUCAAUAGGACAACUAGUUGGGGAAGACUCAAAGAAGCACUAACACAAAGGUAUGCUCACUCCCAUGAUAUUUGUUUUGUGUUUUUCCGUUGAUGUUAUAGGGAUGAAUGCUUUAUUCUUAAUAAUGCUGAUAGCUUCUACAGUGGAAUAAGUACGGAUUAUUCCAGAUUAGCAUUACCUAUGUGAGAUGGAUGUGAGGUCGCAUCUUUGGGAGCUGAUAUGGCUAAAGCUCUCUAAAAGUCUCAUGAAGAAAGGAUCGUUCAUGACCGAAAUGAACACAACGGUAAGAAAUGAUCUAUGCUUANUUGUUUAAUUAAUAUUAGUCAAGAAUUAAUUAAGAAUUAAUUUUGUGGCUAAAAGAGAUUAAUUAAACUUAAGGGACUUAUUGUGUAAUUAUAAGAUAAUUACAUAGAUGGGCUAAUGGACUCCAUAGAAGGUGGAGUGGACGAAUUAUAUGGGGAAGCCCAUAAGAAUUCGUCCAAGGCUUCUAAAGAAAGGGUCCAUGGACUGCCUAGGGCUUAAGCAGUCAAAUUAGGGUUUCCUUGUUAGAUAACCCUAAUUGCCUACUUAUUUAAGGAGCCCCUAAGCCCCAAAAACGGGGUGAUUGAAUCCUUAGGGUUUCCUGGACGUUUUGGAGCCUUUUUCCUCUUCUCUUCUUCAUCUUGUUGCUUAGUGGUGUUUGUGACUCCAUUAGAGGUGCAACACUUGAGGCACUAAGCUUGCUGAAGCCAAGGAAUUGAUUGUUAUUGCUACAUAACAAUCAAGAUAAGAUCUAAACCCUAAUUCAUAUGUUAAUUUGAUUACUAGUACGCUAGAUCUAGGGUUUGUAAGUCUUGGAAGUUUAUUGCAUGUUUAAAGUAGAAAAACUAGAUCCAAGCAAUUAGGGUUGCAUGAACACCAUAGGAUUGAUGUUAUGCGCAAAACCCAUCAGCGGUAUCAAAGACUAGGUCGUUUUUCUAAUGAAUAGAUGCAUAAUUGGACUGCCAAAGAUCUGAAAAUCGAAUUUUUUUGCUCACUGUCUGAUAAACUCGCCGAGUUGCAUGAACUCGACGAGUUCCAAAGAGGACUCGACGAGUUGGAUGUUCAGUUGACGGGAUUUUCGAUUUUCUGGCCAGCUUUUGUUAAGGAUAAUUACCAAAACUCGUUUUUAUUGACUAAAAUCGAUUAUUUAUGUUUGGAAUGUUUAUCCUUAUCAAAAUUAAUGGAUUUGGUUAAAUAUGGAUAGUAUAGGAUUAUUAUUAGAUAAAUAUUUGACCUUGUAAGUUUGAAAAGUUUCAAUUUGCACCCUUUAGGUUUUAUAGCUUAAAUUUGAACUUAAAAGUUUUUGUUUUUGAAAUUUAAAUAGUUAAACCUCAAUGUUUUGAAAGGUUUCAAAACUUGUCCUCAAGUUUUGGAAUUUAAAUUUUGAUUAAAAGUUUAAUUUUUAAAUAUUUAAAUUCUAAACCCUAAGUUUGAAAAAGUUUCAAAAACUUGCCCUCAAGUUUUGGAUUUUAAAUUUUAAUUAAAAGUCUUAAUUUAAAAUCUUAAGAUCUAAAAACCUUGUAUUUUGAAAAGUUCAAAUUACACCCUCAUGGUUUUGUUAAGUUAAUUAAAAGUUUAAUUAAAAGAGAAAGUUAAUAAAGCCACCUAGUAUAUUUUAAAGAGUCAGUCUUACCGUUAGUAGGCCUCAUUCACGAAGUUGGUCUAAAAAGGGUGUUUAAGGAAAUUGCCUAUAAAAUGGCGAUUGAAUGGGUAUCCACUCUUACCCGCCACACUCUUGACUAGUGGAGGGUCGUUAGCCGAACGGGUAGGAUAGGACAGAAACUUUCCAUUAUAAGUAUAAUGAAGUACAAAGUAACUACAUGUUUUUACGAAUUCCCAAAUCAUAGUUACUUUAGGCAAAAUGUGAAAUUGUAUGCUAAUCCAUGGAAUGUCACUUUGUACCCUUGCCGAGACGUUAGUGGAGCAUGUGUGGUUAACCGGCACACUAAUUUGGGUUUGGCAUUGGUAGCGAAGGGUGACUCGAUGUCUGUCAUAGAUCAAUGGAGCAUGUGUGGUUAACCGACACAUUGAUUAGGUGAGCAUAACAUUGAGUGCACCAAGUACAUUCGCAUGGUUAUUCACACCUUGUUUGUGAUCCUCGGCAUCCCAGUCGCAAAUAGUAGGGCAUAAUCAAGAUUAAACAUGUCAUUGAAAGGUUCAAUGAAUCUCAAAAGAUCUAGGAGUUUCAAUUCAUUUAAAACUUAAAUUUCUUUUUCGUUUUGCAUGGUGGAAAUUGGUAAAUCUUCAUUUACCUACCUUCAAAUAUCCUGCAACUAGAUUACGACAUCCCUCUUCUAGGUUGUAGAGUAUUGUGUUGGAUCAUAGCCUUGAUGUUUCAUUUGGGUGUUACAUCAAGGAUUCUAAUCAACUUAACUUGAAUUUUUCUCCCGUUUUGUAGAUGUCUGAAUCUAACAAUGGUCUUCCCAAAUCCCAUGGAACAAGUUUUCCAAAUGAAGAUGAUACUCCACGAUAUGAUCGAGGAGCUAGAGAUCAUGCUUCACUUCCUCCACAUCCUCCAAUUAUUCUCCCUGACCCACAAGUUUGAAGAAUUGAAUAGUUCAAUCUAACUCAAGCACUUUUGGCAAGUAAACACGAAGAUGGGAAACCUGUGUGUGCACACGUCUUAGAGAUGAAGUCACAUAUUGACAGGUUAAGGAUGUUGGGUGUCGAGAUUUCAAGUGAGUUGGAUGUUGACUGUGUUCUUCAGUCACUUCCUGAAUCAUAUAGUGAGUUCGUUAGAGAGUACUAUAUGAUGGACCACGAUGUGACCCUCAUUGAUUUGACCUAUUUGCUUAUAGCUGCUGAAUCAACAAUGAUUUGGCGUGCUGGUCAAGCAAAUUUGUCUGGUGAAUCAAACUCCCAAACUUCAAUGGACACUGGCAACAUUGGAAGUCCAGAAAGGACUAAUUCGGAGAUAGUUCCUUGUGCUAUUCCAAAGGAGUCCAUUUGUUUUUAUUGCCAAAAGAAGGGGCAUUGGAGACGAAGUUGCCCUAUUUACCUGAGAGAUCUAAGAGAUGGGAGAGUCAAGACGUAUGACUCUACUUCAGGUGAAAUCCACCAUCUAAAUCUUUUAAGUUCCUAUUCUAGAUUCUUAAUACAUGAUGUGAUAAGAUUACAUUUUGAUGUUUUGAAGGAUCGAAGAAAAGAGAGGAAGCUUAAGGGAAGAAGUGAGCCGAUUCUGAUCGUGAACAAAUGGAUUUCGAUCGCAUUGCUUAAAGAUCAGAUUUUUGAGCUGCUACUUUGGAGUUAAGAUAAAUUGCUAAGAAAUACGUAAUAGCAUAGUUUUUCAGUUGAAUUGCAUUGUAAGGACAAAGUUUUUCCGCAAUAAAAUAAAAUUUGCUUUGUCUUAUUUAUUUAUCCUUGCAAUGGCAUGUAUGAAAAAAAAUGAUGUUUGAAAGUUUCUACUAUUGGCAAUAAUGGAUUUGCUUCUUAAUUGCGUUAUUUGUGGAAAUUUACCAAAUAGGGAGAGUUUCUCAUCGCCCAAGUUUCAAUUAGACAGAAACUUGGAAUCAUGCAACUUGCAUUGUGUGAUGAAUGAAAAACUUUCAUAUUUGGAAAUUAGACUAAUUCCUUGACAAAGAGUCAAGUGAAGGGCUAGGGAUCAGGUACACUUGGUUGUACGCUGGGCAAGUCCACCACAAAGAGAGAUAGAGUAUUUGUCAUGAUUUACUAAAGUUUAGUAAAUAUGAUUAUACUUAUAAGAUUAAGUGUAAUUCUGAGUUGAUUGAAAAGGUUUCAAUAAAUAGCAGAACGAAUAAGAAGAAUCAAGUAAGGCAGAAAGAUAAAAGGUUCUCUAUUCUAAGAAGAAGGGAGAGUACCUUUUAUUGUGUUUUAUGAUAAGUCUUAAUGAUUAAGAACCAUAUAUUUAUUGAUCCUCUAAGUGAGUUUUAGUACAUAUGUAUGUCUAAGAAGAGGAAUCGGGAAUUGUGGAAAUGGUUAAAUCAAGAAGUCAAUCAUACUUCGUUCCAAUAUCGAGUCUUAGAGUCAUACUCCAAGAUUGCGAAUUGAGUGACACGUCUUUAGUAGGUUUAUAACACUCAACAAAUGUGGAAUUGGAAAAAGUCUUCUUAUUCCUGCACAUUUGAAAUUGGUAAGUUGUGAUGUCUUGUAGAAGACAAAGACCAACGAGAACCAAUUUAGCGAAGUGUUAGUCUUGAUAGGAUUUCACACUAACUCUUGAAUAUUUGUUUUGUCAAGAAAAGUUCAUUGACAAAGAGAAUCAUAUAUGUCAAGAAGUCAGUGGGAGUCUCAAUUGUCUUGAAAAGUUUAAGAGCUAAUCAAGAAUAAACCGAUAGUUAAUCACUAGCACACGACUUGAGGUUGGCGACCUAUCGUGUUGACAUAAUUUUGUUUCUGUGCCAUUCCAGAUUAAGUCAACUAUGCAAUAUGAGUUCUAUGAGUUCUCAAUUGGAUUGCAUAAAGGCAAGGCACCUUGAUCAAUGGAAAGUACAUUGAUAAGGUAAGGGUGAGCUGCUCAACAACCUGGAAGCAAUGGUGGGCAUCCAUGCUUCCAUAAGGCGAGAAAUCAAGAUUGAACAAGUUCAGUCCAUAUGAGUUGGAUUUGUCACAAACAUUGUCUUAUGAUUGUUGUCAUGACAAAUUCACAUGGAUAGGAACACAUACACUUUGAAAUCUAAGUGUUGUAAGGUUUAUCUCCUUCAUGAAAAUGAUUGUGAGGAAAUGCUUUCACUUAGAAAGAUUUUAAGAAGAUUGCAAUUGUGAAAAUUGUAUUCUCAAAUUCGAUUACGAUUACGGCAUCCCUUUUCAUAGUUCGAAUUGUGAGAUUUGGCAAUUGGUCUAAACAUUUGGGACUUAGUAACAUAAGUUCUGAAUUUCUUUAGACACGCAUGUGAGCUUUCUAAGGCAGAGGUGUAUGAGUUUAAGAUGCUUAGAUAAAGGUUUAUCAAAGCAUCAGGUAUUUAGAAAUAUGAACUUAAGGAAUUCAAUAAGUAUUGUUUUCUGGAAGUUCAGAUGUUUUCUGAAUAUAUAUCAAAGUUAUUGGGAGCAUAAGUGUUAUGAUUGUAUAGUAAUAAUCAUCGUGUUGGUGGGAGCAUGAUUAUUAUUUCAAGUAUUGCAAGUUAGCAAUAUUAAUUAUAGAAAACAAGGAUUCACUUUGCAAAGUUGUAGGGGUUGAAAAGUUGUUUUGCUAUAAUUAAGGGAGAGAAUAUUAUACUUCGUUUCAAAAUCUAAAGCUUAGAUUGAUAAAUUUUAAUAAAUUUAGUCAAAGGAUACAUAGUGUGUUCUCAAAUUUCGAUUAUGAUUACGGCAUCCCUCUUCAUUGUUCGAAUAGUGAGAACAUGACACAUAAAAUAUUAUGGCAGAAGAUUGAUAAAAUAUCAUAUCUUUAUGUAAGACAUUAUGCAUCGUGUCCCAUACACUUCGGGUAUAGGAUCGAUUGCAAAUGCUAUAAUAUUUGACCAUUCUAAAAUUUUCCAAAUGCCUAGCGCAUUAAGAGGGAAAAAGGACUAGAAUCGGCUUUGACUAAAAUAAUUAAACAACUAUCAAAGGACGACCCAAAGUUCGUUGAGGAUUUGUUGCUUGUGAAUAGUUGGAUGUAUAGUGUUCGAUGGACCAUAACGACAUUAUUAUGAAUAGAUAAGAUUCUGUUAAGAAUGAUUUGUCGUAUGGCAAAUAUGGAAAUGCCUCCAUAUUGGGAGUUGAAGUUAAGAAUAUAUGUCUAGAUUAGAAAAUUUUAUGCAAAAGGGAUGUUCAAAGGAAUGUACUUUGAGUGAGAGACAUCACAUCUAUAGAAUUGUUUUGUAACAAUUUCUAAUAGAGAACCUUGUAUUUGCAUUGGCCAAGUCUUGGUGACUUUUGUGCUAUGACUUUACGAAAGGAUCGUUGCAUAAAAUGUUAGAAUCUAACAUAUUCUAGUAGUGGCAAGAACCUUGUGUUCUUACACUAACGAUGAGGAUUAGGAAUUGUGAAAUGAGCAUCACUGGAAAAGUUUUCAAUUGAUCUAUUUCAUGGACCAUAGGAAACAAAGUGUGCAUGCUUCGAGCAUGGGACAAUUGUUGUUGUAAUUCAAGUAAUGAGUUGAUUAUCCGAAACAUUAAAUGAUAAAUAAUGAGUAAUCAAUAUGGUGGUUAAAUAGAAGUGUUUUAUUUACUCUCACAAGUUUGGGGCCAUAUAGGAUUAAGUAUUAUUGUUGUGUUUCAGUUUGCAUGUUUUGACUUCCAGAAUAACUAGGUUAUUCGAACCUCCACAGUCGGUCAUACUUUGGAAGUAGGUAUGAAGCAAGACUGUCAUGAAGAGUCUGUAGAUUGUCUAAAAUUUUAGACAUAACACAAGUUUGCUGUAGAGUUCAUGAGUGCUUUAAUAAGAUUAGAGUAUUGGAUUAAACCCACGCUCACAAGAAUCACUUCAUGGAUUUUAUCAUGAGUGAUUGUGAGUCGAUAAUAUUGUAUAUUCUUGAAACCGAGACGUGUGAGUUGUUAUUUGUUGGUCGGUUACACAUUGAUGGUAAGUAAACGCACGAGUAACUUGGUGUUAUAAAACUUAUUGUUGAGUGUGAUUCGAUGAUUGAAUACAAGCGAGCAUAUGAGUCGAAGUUUAUCUAUUCCUUUUACCCAAAGUGAGAUAAAAGCGAUAUAUGUGGGCCCCUCGAUGAUUUAGUGAUGACACCUAAGCGCUUGGCCAAGCCGGGACUAAGUUGAUGUGUUCAAUUGUAGUCUGUUGUCAGUCGUCAUAAAUCGGAAGUCGGGAAACAGUAUAGAGAGAAUGAUCGAAAUUCAUGUCUUGUGUCUAUACGAUAUCUUGAGAAUGGAGGAAUAUAUGAUCCUUUAUCUAAAGGACACGCUGUCUGAUAAGAUCAGAGUUGACAACGGCUUUUGAAAGCUAUGAUUGUUGAUCAGGUUCUGAAGUCAUGCAAAAUAGUUAUUAGACUUAUCCAAGUGGGAGACCGUUGGAUUAGUGUCUAAGUCCGUAACUAUUUUGGUAUGUACUUGACCCGAUUAUGAGCAUGGUCCUUUUGGGUUGCCUUCAACAUAGCAACUUGUAGGAUGAAUUAAGGAGAGAAAGGUUUAAUUAUGAUUUAUUAAUAUAUUAUGAGAAUAAUAUAUUAAAGGAGAAAUCAUAUUGUUUAAUUAAUAUUAGUCAAGAAUUAUUUAAGAAUUAAUUUUAUGGUUAAAAGAGAUUAAUUAAACUUAAGGGACUUAUUGUGUAAUUAUAAGAUAAUUACAUAGAUGGGCUAAUGAACUCCAUAAAAGGUGGAGUGGAUGGUUAUAUGGGGAAGCUCAUAAGAAUUCGCCCAAGGCUUCUAAAGAAGGGGUCCAUGGAUUGCUUAGGGCUUAAGCAGUCAAAUUAGGGUUUCCUUGUUAGAUAACCCUAAUUGCCUACCUAUUUAAGGAGCCCCUAAGCCCCAAAAACGUGGUGACUGAAUCCUUAAGGUUUCCUCGACGUUUUGGAGCCUCCUUCCUCUUGUCUUCUUCAUCUUGUUGCUUAGUGGUGUUUGUGACUCCAUUAGAGGUGCAACACUUGAGGCACCAAGCUUUCUGAAGCCAAGGAAAUGAUUGUUGUUACUACAUAACAAUCAAUGUAAGAUCUAAACCAUAAUUCAUAUGUUAAUUUGAUUACUAGUAUGCUAGAUUUAGGGGUUGUAAGUUUUGGAAAUUUAUUGCAUGUUCAAAGUAGAAAAACUAGAUCCAAGCAAUUGGGGUUGCAUGAACACCAUAGGAUUGAUCUUAUGCUCAAAACCCAUCAGAUACAGGGAUGAAUUCUUUAUUCUUAAUAAUGUAGAUAACUUUUAUAGUGGAAUAGUACGGAUUGUUCCAGAUUAGCAUUACCUAUGUGAGAUGGAUGUGAGGUCGCAUCUUUGGGAGCUGAUAUGGCUAAGCUCUAUAAAAGUCUCAUGAAGAAAGGAUUGUUCACGACCGAAUGAACACAACGGUAAGAAAUGAUCUAUGCUUAGAUAUGAUAUGUGUGAUACUUCUUGCUUUUAUUCUACUAUAAAAAGUGGUUAGUUCAAGACUCUAGUUCACUACCCACAAAGUAGAUCCAAGUAUACUCACUAUGAAAGGUUCAAGUUUUACAACACCUAUUCAGAUGCAUGUCAUAUCUUACUUCCCUUAUUUGAAUAUCAAAGUUCACUUAUUUUCUAUUCAAAUGUGAGAUAUUCUUGGAAUUUGAAUAGAAAAUGUGGGGUAUUGUUGGAACUUUGCUUUACAAAAUUACAAUGUGGGACUUAUCCCACAUUGGUGGAAGAGAAAACUUUUUCCCACCUUAUAUGUUUUAUCCUACUCAUUUAAUCAAAUGGAUCAAGUAAUGGGUUAAGCAUAUUAGGUUUGGUUUGUGGUGUUGGACUAGCCUAAUUGGAUUCAAAUAGGCUAAUAUCAAGAAAAUAUUUAAUGGUUAAAAGAUGGGCCUUGGGCCUUGGGGCUCUUGGGGUCCUCCUGAUUAAUUAAAUAUUUUUUAAUUAUGAAAUUAAUUUUUUAUUUUUUAUUUUUAUUAAAUUCAUAAUUAUUGAAUGACAGAUAUUAUGACAGUUAUUUUCUGUUUUGACAGUUUCCAACUGUCAUAACUAAUACCUAUAAAUACUUGUUUCCAUUCAUUUGUGAGGAAUUACAGAAAUCAUUUUACACCACAAAUUCUCUUGCAAAUUCGUUCUUCCUGAAGAUGAAGAGAACAUAGAAAUUUCGACAGAUUCAAGAUCACUUCUUGGAUUGAUUGUUGUAUCCUCUGACAGAUCCCUAACAGGGAAAUUUCUGUCUUAGGAUACUGCAGAGCAGACCUCAAUCUGUACAAAUUUGUGAUUAUAUUUUCUAUGUAAUCAACAUACAAGUAUGUUUUCUGUAAAUUGAUUCUUGUAUAUUAUAUAUAUUUGAAUUUCGUUUGUUUUAUUUCAGUUAGUUUUGUUGAUUGUAUACUUCUGUCGUAACAACAACAACGGUACAACUUUUGGCUAGAAAAGUCCAAAGCAAUCUUACACACCAAAAUCAUUUAAUGAAGAAGAUUUUAAGUUUGAUUUGUACACAAGAGAUAAACACAAAUGUUGCUAAAUUGUCAUGAUCGCAACAAAUUCUAUCACCAAAAUGAUUGGUCUUAUGACAUAGAACCUUCGUAAAGUACAUUUGUUUUCCCCACCAAUAAAGCUGGAUGGAAGGUACACCGACCAAUCACCUCGGUAAAUCGCAUAAAACCACAAACCUAGAGAAUGAAAGCAAAAAUUAGGUUUGCUAUUUUGUGUAAUUUGUCUAAUAUGGUAUUUAACAAAGGUAUAUAAUUAUAUAAUAAUCAAAAUGUAAUUAAACGAUAAAAUUAUGUAUAAUGAGAAACAAGAAUAACAUGUAAUACUCUAUAUAAACAAACAAAAGCUUUAUAAUUAAAAUAUGUAAAAGAUAUCAUUUGUUGAAACUCGUAUUUUAGGGUUCGCUUACUUUGUGCGCUUCGUUGAUGCAUUCUCCACCAAAAAAUUAUACUUUUCUAUGUUUGAUUAUGAUCACUUACCAUGGUCGGUCCCAUAUGUUUCCUCAACCCAUAUCUUUAAAGUAUGCAUUUUCUUUGAAAGUCAUAAUGUAGAAACAAAAUAUGUUGUUUUCUAAGUAAGGGAAAAUACAACAAUAGAAUAUAAAUUCAAGUAUACGAUUAAAGAUCUUUAAUAAGAUUAUAAGACAACUUUUUUUUAGUGUAUACUAGUAUUUCCUUAGGCUAAGUUUUUUCAGGAAUUAAUAUAAUACUUUUAUUUUCGUGAAUUUUCUAUCUAUAUUUUUAUUUGAAUAUCAGUUUAGGUUUAUAACCAAAAGACAUUUGACAUAUGACUAUUAUGAUGUUGAAAAGAUCGUAAGAACCCAAAUAGUUGUGGUUCAAGUCCUAUGAUAAACAAAAAAAAAAAUGAUUAAAUGAAAUUGUGAGAGCUUCUAAAAAAACAUUUAGGCUUAAAUGGGGCUUAACUUUCAUUUCUUUUGUACAUAAAAACAUCAAUCUAACAUUAAAAAUCAUAGAGAUUAAAAACAUACAUAUUAAGUUUCAAAAUUAUUCAUACAAGUUUCUAAAGUCUUGGAUGUAAAAGGAGAGUUUCGAAUUUCGUUUUUAAUUUAUAUAAACAAUACAAAAUCACUACAUACUAAGAUUACCAAGUUGUUAAACAUUAUAUGAUAUUUAUACACCGAACUAAAAUAAAAUUAACAAUAUAAAAGCUAAAGAAAAUAUUGAGUUUCGAAAGGGAAGAUGACAUAAAAGCCCUUAAGUUUUCACAACAAUGUCGGUUUUAUCCUUGGACGUGUUUUAGUUCAGUAAAAUUGGAUGUUUUGUUUAAUUUGUUCAUUUAUACCAUUUUAGUUGGUUUCCAGGUAAUCUACCGAUUACCUAAUACCAGUAAAUUCUUGACUUUUCAAAAUUAUUGUUGUUGUUGUUGUUAUUAUUAUUAUUAUUAUUAUUAUUAUUAUUAUUAUUAUUAUUAUUAUUAUAUGUUUAAUAUGUUUUUAAAUGUAUAAAAAUUUUUAAAACGUACAUUUUAAAUACGUUUUUAAAUGUAUAAAAAUAUUCUUAUAGAUUUAAAAAAUAUAUUUAUUUGUAUUUACUAUUUAAAAAUAUAUUUACUUCUAUUUAGUAUUUGUACAGAUUUGAAAACCAAUUUACGCUUCUAAAAUUGUAUUUAUAUAUUAAAAAUAUAUUUAUUUGUAUUUAGUAGGUAUANNNNNNNNNNNNNNNNNNNNNNNNNNNNNNNNNNNNNNNNNNNNNNNNNNNNNNNNNNNNNNNNNNNNNNNNNNNNNNNNNNNNNNNNNNNNNNNNNNNNNNNNNNNNNNNNNNNNNNNNNNNNNNNNNNNNNNNNNNNNNNNNNNNNNNNNNNNNNNNNNNNNNNNNNNNNNNNNNNNNNNNNNNNNNNNNNNNNNNNNNNNNNNNNNNNNNNNNNNNNNNNNNNNNNNNNNNNNNNNNNNNNNNNNNNNNNNNNNNNNNNNNNNNNNNNNNNNNNNNNNNNNNNNNNNNNNNNNNNNNNNNNNNNNNNNNNNNNNNNNNNNNNNNNNNNNNNNNNNNNNNNNNNNNNNNNNNNNNNNNNNNNNNNNNNNNNNNNNNNNNNNNNNNNNNNNNNNNNNNNNNNNNNNNNNNNNNNNNNNNNNNNNNNNNNNNNNUUUCAAAUGUAUAUAAAUACUAAAUAGAAGUAAAUAUAUUUUUAAAUACUAAAUACAAAUAAAUAUAUUUUUAAAUCAAUAAAAAUAUUUUUGUACAUUUAAAAAUGUAUGUUUAAAAUAUAUUUAUACAUUUAGAAACACAUUAAUUAUAUAAUAAUAAUAAUAAUAAUCAAAAUAACAAUCAAAAUAAGGGUAAAUCCUAACAUUUUUGAAAACGUAAGGGUAUAUCCGAAAUUUUUUGAAAACUCAAGGGUAUUACUGAUAUCAGGUAACCGACAAGUUAUCUGGAAAACGGCUAAAAUGGUAUAAAUGAACAAAUUAAACAAAACAUCCGACUUUACUAGACCUAAAACACAUCCAAGGGUAAAACCGAUAUUUUUGUGAAAACUUAAAGGCUUUUAUGUCAUUUUCCUGUUUUGAAAUUAUGCAUACGAGUUUCAAAUUGGUCUACUUAAAGUUAUGGUUUCAAAAUUCAUUUUUAGUGUAUAUAAACAAUCCAAUACCACUAUAUAUCAUGUUUAGCCAGUUAUUAAGUCUCAAAGUCAGUCUAAAGAGAGUUCAAAGUGUGCCCAUGAAUAGGGCACACUGAAAUCUAGAAGCCCAAAAUUUUCUUAGCCUUUGUAUUAACUUAGGUUUAUUUUUUAGCCUAAAUAGUAUUAGGUUGUGUAUGAGCAAAGGAAAGGAAUGAUGCAAGCAGGAAUGUGAAAGUUUUAGAGAAAAAAUGAUGCUUAGGUUCCUUCAAUUCAAUAUUGCAGACAGUGAUUAUGAUUUAGGCAUAGGAAAAAGUUACUGAUGCUAGUAAAAUAGCAAAUCAUCGUCAAGCUCCUUAGUAACGGUCUUCUUCUUUCAAUCUUGCUUAAAGUUAGAAAAGUUUUCAUAUUGAACACUUCAAUCUUCGAAAAACAUCAGAAGAAUUCCAAAAGCAUCGAGUUCUUAUUUCUUACUUCUUCGAUAUCUCCAUAAAUCUUCGAGUAAAUUACACGAAUGGUCCCUGUGGUUUAGAGUAAUUUGUGUGUUUGGUCCCUAACUUAUUUUUUUAACUCGGAAGGUCCACACUGUUUGUUUUUGUUACACGUUUGGUCCAUGUCUUACCUAAAAAAAUUAUUUUGCCUUUGAUUUUUUAAAAUAUUUAAAUAAAAAAACCCCAACUCCAUCCCCCUCACUUUACCUUACCCAUCCCAUCAUUUUUUCUUAUUUAAAUAAUAGUCUUUUUAGGUAAGACAUGGACCAAUCGUGUAACAAAAACAAACAGUGUGGACCUUCCGAGUUAAAAAAAUUAAGUAGGGAUCAAACACACAAAUUACCCCAAACCAUAGGGACCAUUCGUGUAAUUUACUCUAAAUCUUCAAAAUUAGACAGAAAUCAGAAGCCUUCAAUUGUCGAUGGGAAGUGUUGAAAAUCAGAAUGAGGGUCUUACGGAGUAUGGAGUAUGGAUGAAAAUGUAAAUGUAUUAUACAUUUUUUAUAUGAUAUUGUUUGAGGUGGAUGGUAAUAAUUUAUGUUUCUUUUUUCUUGAAUUCAAAAUUUUAUUAUAAGAAGAAAUCAAAUUUGAAAACAAGAAGAUAUUCUCAUAAAUCUCACCUCAAAAUUUUGGGUAAAUUAGUUUUUUUUCUUUCAUUCAUUCAUUUUGAUUUCUAUUUUCUUGAUAUGAGAAACAAAAUCUAUCAAUCCGGCUUCUAGGUUUUGAAGUUUCUGAUUCUUAAGUUGUUUGAAGUUUCAAAAAUCAGAACUUCAGAAGGUAAAUUGCUAUAUUUUUUUAUUUCUAAUUUUUUUAAUUAGAAGCAAAUGAGACUUUCUCUCUACUGAUAAUGUAAUAUAACAUUAUAAUUUCUAUUUUUUUUCUGUAUGAUUCGUUUCUAAUUUUUUUAUAGGUUUUUAGAGGACAGAGGUGUAAAAACUUUACUACUUGAGUUUCAAAAUUGAGUAACCUUUUGGAUAAAGUUAUUUAUAAAAAUGUUAGUAAAAAGUUUAUUUCAACGAAUAUUAGAAUGAUGACCGUUUUCAAGUAGAAUAAUUUUUAUUGUAUUAUUUUUGAAUGAAAUUUUAGUUUAUGUAUUUUGCAAUAGAAUAUGAAAAGUUAUAAUUGUUUUGGUUAAAGUUUUAUGUCUUUCAAGUUUUACGCCCUAUUUUUUGUUAAAUUGCAAAAGGUCUCCGAAAUUUUACCGUUCGCCCUGUUAAGUCCUAUAAUAGUUACAAACUAAUUUACUAUUAAAAACCUCAAAAACUAAGAUCUCGAACUUGACGUUCGGUGUUUUAAAAUUGUUCUAUAGGUAUACUAAAAAAAAAACUUAUUUGGCUGUGUCAAACGUUCAAAAUAAAUUCUUAAACAUGGACUCGAUAUUAAUUUGAAAAUACAUAAAAGAUAACAUUUGAUAUACAAGUUGCGAAAUUAUUGUCGGUUUAUAUCAUAUAUAAAACCUUAAAUAAGAGGAACCUUAUAUAAGUUUACAAUUUACAAUUGACCUGAUUUCAAAUUUGAUUAUGAUCAUUUAAAAGGAAAAAACUAGACCCAAGUUUUAUAAAUGUAACAUAUCCCUCUAGACCAGUACAAUGGAUCAUGCAUAACAAUGUUAUAUCUUCUAGAUCUAUGGAUGUAGUUUUCAAAAGAAUUUAUUUUAUCAUAGAUAAAGGCUUAACGACACAGUUUGUUGUCCGUUAGUCAGCUCACUCGUUGAAUGAUGAUAACUAAAAUAUAGAAUGAAAAUGAGAAUAUAGUCUUUUUAUUAUUAUCGGUUUUUAGUUUUAUAGUAUGAUAGUAUCUUCGGUUUCAUUUUGGUUAUGAUUGGUGAGUCUUUCUUUUACUUAUAAAAUAAUUAUUCCCAUCGCACACACCUUCAAUUAUUGAAAUCUUCACUAGUUCUCAUGUAUUCAAAAAGACUAUGAUUCUUUAUAUAUAAUAAUUCUUUAAUUAGAAAUCACAUGUAUAAAGAAGGAUAAGGAACCUUACAUGAAAUAAUGUUGCUUCAUCUUAUUUUAUUAAUUAUAUUUUUAGAAGACUAGAAACUAAUUGGUAAAGUUGUGCUGAUUGAUUACAAAGACGCCAUUAUGCAAUGCACAGAGCUAAAUUUUAUUCUUUGGGGUUUACUUUGCAAGUUUUUAGUUAUGUACGAUCAAUGUGUAGGUUUGUUAUCAUUACAAAAUCAUUAAUGUCAAUUUUAUAAAGACUGGCAAAAUGUUAGAAUCAGAAGCAUAAUAUAUUACUACAAGGAAAAAAAAAAAAGUAGUUUCUUUUGCGAAGGCAGGGGAAGGGGAAGGGGGAAGGGGGAAGGGGGGUUUUGCUGAGUUUCCACUCACAUUUUGUGUAUCCUUCAUUUUCAUCAUUUUUAUAACAAGGGCAACAAACUAUAUUUCAAGACACUAUUUUAGCCUAUUUUGGCUUUUGAACCUUGUGACACAAUCUUUUUAAAAACCAACCAUUUACAAAAUCCAUUAACAACAUUAACAUUCAUGGGUGGCGUUCUUCGAUUUCUACUAUUCGUGGUUCUCAAGGUCCUUGGUAUGGUAUUUGUAGGGUGUUAGGAUCUUUGAAGAAUCAAGAUUUUGACUUGCAUACUUUCUGUCAUUUUCGUAUUAGAGAUGAGAUGAGAAUUGAUUUUUGGCACGAUACGUGGAUUGGUGAUCAUCCUUUAGUUUUUGAUUUUCAAAGGGUUUUUGCUCUUGAUCUUCAUAAGGUCGGUUCGGUUUUCUUCAUGUUCUCGUUUGGGUGGUCGGUUGAGUCUCUCAGGAGGAAUCCAAGGGGGGUAUAGAGGCGUCUCAGUGGAAUGUGGAAUGCGCUGAUAGAAUUGAUGCAAGGUGUGGGGCUUGCUAAUUGUCCAGAUCGAUUGGGAUGACAUUUGAUCCUUUAGUUUGUUUUACAUUGUUUUACAGUUGUGUCAGCCAGGGAUUUUCUUAAUAGCAGCACGCUUACUAGUUAGGGAUGUGAGACUAGAUGAAAUUCUUGGAUUCCUAUCAAGCUGAAUAUCCUUCUUUGGUGUGUUGCUUAGUUGCUAAUCCUACUAGGGAGCGUUUGUGUACUAGAGGAAUUUUAGUUCCUUCUAUUAUGUGUCUGGUUUGCUCUUCAGUGAUGGAGACUAUCGAUCAUUUGUUUUUUGGGGUGCGCGAUGUUGAUGGAUCUUUGGCAUCAGAUUGUUGUUUGGUGGGGUGUUCAGUCUCAUAUGCAAGUUAGUGUCAAGUCGUUCGAUUCUUAGACUGAUUCUACCAAGUUGACUAUUGACUACAGGACAAAGGAAGGCAUUUGAUGCGGUUGUUGCUACAACUUUUUGGGCCAUUUGGAAUUAUAGAAAUUCCAUUUUUUUUUGGGACCUAAGAAAUCCCUCGUUUUUUAUGAUAUUGUCGAUAAGUCUUUCUUUUGGAUUUCUAAUAAAUGUAGGGAAACUAGUUUUUCUUGGGUUAGCUGUUUGCAUAAUCCAACUUUAGCUUCUUCUAUAUUGUAAUGGUUUUGUUGGUGUUGCUAGUUUUUUAAUAAAAUAUUGUCGUUCCAAUAAAAAAAUAGACGUUUACAUUGACAAGUCUUAAGAGUUCAUAUCUUCUUCUUGUUGUAUGCAUUCCAUAUUUUAAGGAGGAAACUUUUAAGAGGAAAAAACAAUUAUAAAGGAAUAGAAAAAAAUGGGUUUUGAAUCUAAGAAACCUAGGUUAUGGCAAUAUUUUUUUUCUUGUUCACAAACCAAGUAAAAGAACAGUCAAUUAUAGAGUCAAAAAUCAGGUCCUUUUUUUGUUUACUUUUGUCUCCAAAAGCCAUGGCGUCUUCUAAGCUCCAUAACACCCACCAAGUAGUCAUCACAAUAGCUUUCGAAGCUGGCUUUUUGAUGGAGGACAUCCCAUUUGCACCAAACAUGAGUAUCUUGAAUAACCGUAUUCUUGUUACUGUGGUGAUGCCUAAUGUAAUGUAUGUAAAGUGGAUGAAUAUUCUAAUUGUACGUAUUCAUGUUCAUAGUUAAUUUUAUUUGCGGUGUGGUAUUUGAUUUGUUUUUAAGUAUUCAGACAUGUUAUAUAUACUUGGUUGUUAUAUCGCAUACAUUUGUGUAAAAUAACGACAAUAUCUCAUCAUGUCUCAAGUAACCAGUAACAUGAGUGUCCUGAAUAACAAUGAUUUAAUAACUUUAGUGUCCUAUUUAAUAACAAAAACAGUUUACUACCCAUAUUAACACAAAGUUAGGAAAAAAAUAUACAUGCAAAAUUAAUCCAUUAAGAAAUACUCGAGGGACUGGUUUUGUAACAUUUAGUAUAUUAUUAAUCAGUUAGUGGCAUGUAGAUACGAAUGAUUGUUGGCGCUUAUAAAGACACCGACGGUUCCCCCGCAAAAAUCACCCCAAAGAAAAAGGAAAGAAACCAGAUUGAUAUUUCUGUUGAUUUCCGCCAUGAUCGCUUCAACUGUUCCUUCUUCUUCAAAAUCUUCAAUCAACCUCCUAACCUACGCCACCCCUUUCAAAUCUUCAUUCCUACCUUCCUCAUUUUCAAUUCCCCCAAGAUUUUCUCCUUCAACUCCUCGAUUUCAAUAUCUAACUAUCACCAAUGUUCUUAAAACCGCAGAUUCCCCAAAUCUCUCUUCAACCGCCUCGAAUCUCGAUUCCAUUUUCUCCAAUUCCAAACCGACCAUCCUUGUCUCAGAAAAACUGGGAGAUGCUGGUCUCGAUCUUCUCAAAAGCUUCGCCAACGUUGAUUGCUCCUACAACCUCUCCCCGGACGAUUUGUGUUCUAAGAUCUCCAUGUGCGAUGCCUUGAUCGUCAGAAGUGGUACAAAAGUCAACCGUCAGGUCUUUGAAGCCGCCAAAGGUCGAUUGAAGGUCGUUGGAAGAGCUGGUGUAGGUAUCGACAAUGUAGAUCUACAAGCUGCCACUGAAUUUGGAUGCCUUGUUGUUAAUGCUCCUACUGCCAACACUAUUGCUGCUGCCGAACACGCCAUUGCUUUGUUGUCUGCUAUGGCUCGUAAUGUCGCACAGGCUGAUGCCUCCAUGAAAGCUGGUACCUAAAUCCCUCUCUCUUCUCUAUUUUCCUUCCCCAAUAUCUGCUAUGGAUGACCUUCUUCCUACUCUGAGAUGAAGCUUCCCUGUUAUCUCACAUUCGUCAGAUCUAUCUUCAUGAUCUGGAGAAAAGUUUUCUGACACCAGCUACUUUUUACUCCUUUUACAGCUCAAAUUAACCAGAUCUAUCUCACAACUUGAGUUUUCAAUCGUGUUUUUUACAGGCAAAUGGCAGCGUAACAAGUACGUCGGAGUUUCCAUGGUGGGGAAGACAUUAGCGAUCAUGGGAUUCGGGAAGGUCGGAUCUGAGGUUGCUAGACGUGCGAAAGGCCUAGGCAUGCAUGUGGUUGCACACGAUCCAUACGCACCAGCAGACAGAGCCCGUGCCAUUGGUGUUGAACUCAUCUCUUUCGAUCAAGCCAUUUCAACUGCAGAUUUCAUCUCACUCCAUAUGCCACUCACUCCAACAACUUCAAAAGUUUUCAACGAUGAAACCUUUUCAAAGAUGAAAAAAGGAGUCCGAAUCAUCAAUGUUGCUCGUGGUGGAGUCAUUGAUGAAGACGCCUUACUGAAAGCCCUUGAUUCUGGAGUCGUUGCACAGGCAGCCUUAGAUGUGUUCACUGAAGAGCCACCCAAAGAUAGUAAAUUAGUCCACCAUGAAAACGUCACUGCAACACCUCACCUUGGAGCUAGCACAAAAGAGGCACAAGUAUGAUUUUAAAUUGUAAUAAUUAUAAUCCUCUCACUCUCACCCCUUUUUAACCUAACCACGGUUAAUUAUACAAACAUCAGGAAGGUGUAGCUGUUGAAAUAGCAGAAGCUGUAGUUGGAGCCUUACAAGGAGAACUCUCUGCAACUGCGGUUAAUGCUCCAAUGGUAGCCCCAGAGGUUUUAUCUGAGCUGGCACCUUACGUGGCACUAGCUGAGAAGCUGGGAAGACUAGCUGUACAGUUGGUUGCUGGAGGAAGUGGGAUUAAGUCUGUAAAGGUGGUGUACAGGUCAGCACGUGAUCCUGAUGACCUGGACACAAGACUUGUAAGGGCUAUGAUUGUAAAAGGCAUCAUAGAACCAAUCUCUGAUUCCAUAAUCAACCUUGUUAAUGCUGACUUCAUAGCUAAACAGAAAGGUUUACGGAUUUCUGAAGAACGGGUGUUUGCCAACUCAUCGCCAGGGUGUCCGUUUGAUUCCAUUCAAGUCCAGAUAAGCAAUGUGAAAUCGAAAUUUGCAAGUGCUUUGAGUGAUAAUGAUGAGAUUAGUGUUGAAGGGAGAGUGAAAUAUGGGACACCUCAUUUGACACGUGUGGGGUCAUUUGGUGUGGAUGUAAGUCUUGAAGGGAACUUGAUAUUGUGUCGCCAGGUGGACCAACCAGGGAUGAUUGGGAUAGUUGGGGGUAUUCUUGGAAUGAAUAAUGUGAAUGUGAGUUUUAUGAGUGUUGGGAGAACUGUUAGGGGGAAGAAGGCGAUUAUGGCGAUUGGUGUUGAUGAAGAACCGGACAAAAGUACCCUCAAGAAAAUAGGUGAUGUGCCAGCUGUCGAAGAGUUUGUGUUUCUUGGCUUAUAAUAAGAUCCUAUAGUGUUGUGAUGAUAGGGGCAAGUUAAGACAAUAUUAGUACAAAGUACAAACAAUCCUCACAAUGAAGAGUUUGAGGUCGUGUGAUGUUGUGGUGUUUGUAAUCUAUUUAUAAAUUCUAGCUCCAGGAAAAGGAGCAACUGAAUGAGAAUGAUGUAUGAUAAAAUGUUGUACAUCUUUUUCUACUUUCCAAGACUGAAUAAAUCGUCUAAAUAGCCAAAUUUCAUAAUAUGUAACAAUUUUAACGUGUAAAGAAUUAAUAUCUUAAUACAUUAAGUUAUUUUGUUUGUAUUAGGUCAAAAAGAAACAGCCAAGUAUAACUAUCCAGAUUAAGUACUUAACUCAUCAAGUAUGAAAAGGAAACAUUCCAUUAGCCGAACGUCUGAAUGCAAUUUCAAGGUGCUGACUAUAGCUAUUUAACAUACUUGUUGACAAAUAUAUAUUGUAGUAAAAUGGUGAUGAAUACAUGAUCAAAGUGGUAAAACGUCCAAAGAAAGUGAUCAAGUCCUGAAUCUUCACUUUAGCUUUCAUGUGAUGUACCAAUCAGUUUUAUCCUCAUGCAAAUAAAUGCUCCUGAUUAUUUUCCUCUGAAUACAUAUAAUACAACAGAUGCAAGUUAGUAAAAUGAGUUCCAGGUAAUAGAAAAGAAGCUACAAUGCAAUGUGUGUGGAAGGAUGUAGAGAAUGAUUUUACAUACGUAUUCAUCAUCAGAGUAAUGUUGUCCCCUUUCAACAGAAUCCUUCCUAAAAUCCAAAACUUGAAGGUUAGAAAAAAGGACACCAAGAACAAGAUCGAUAGAAAGAAGGCUAAUCAAGCUAACUGACCUAGAGCCUUUCUGGUUUUCUUCUUUAUACUGACUUCCUCUGCAUCCUCAAGAACCAAAUUCAUGUACUCAUCAAAACCCUACAUCAAACAACCAAGCAUACAAAAUUAUAAUUAUCAUCAAGUUACAAAAUUACAAAAAGUUAAAAGAUCGUAAAAUUCAUGCUCAGAAUAAUUAGACUUACAAUUAUACGACCUUCGAUCCUCAAAUCCUUCUGUUCAAACAGCCAUAUCUGGAUACGCGCUUUCUGUUUCAUACACAGCAUAAAACUCAGAAAAUCAGCCAAUUCGUCCAAACAAACCAUUGAAUGAAAUUUAAAAUGUAAGUAGAGCUUACACUUUGAAGGAAUCUGAAUAUCAGGUUCUGGAAUUAUGAGGAAAAAGUUAAAGAUUCUAUUAGUCGUAACUUAAAAUAAAAGUGAAAAUGCGGGAAAUCAAUUACGGUUCCCAGUUAAUUAAGUUGGUUUUGGAGAAGGAAAGAAUACGUACGAUAGGUUGGGUCAUGAUCCUCUGAACUUUAGUCGCCAUGGCUGCUUGUUGAAUACGAGACAGAGAUCUUCUCCCGAGUCUUUUGGUUUCUGGCUGAGCGGAAACAAAACCCUAGACAGACGUAAACGGUAAACCCCCCUUUUCUAUUCAACAUUAUGCAUCAGAUACAUUAAUGGUCCCUAAACUAAUAUUUACAUUACGGCUUUGCUCCUCUAAGUACAAGUCGUACCCAAUUCGUUCCAUUUCUUUGAUCAUUUGUAUAAACUAACCACGGAUCACUUUUUUAAUUGGUUUUUUUACAUUUUCUUUUUUGUAUUUUGGAAUUCUAAUCUAUGGAGGAUAUACAUAUUCAUGGUAGAUAAACACGUCUUAUUUUAUUACAAACGUUCAUUACAUGGAAAGAUCAUUACACAGGGGGACGUAUUUGUGGAAAUGGAAAAGGGGAUCAGUUGUCGUGUAGGUUCUCGAUCAUAUCCUUCAAGGUGAUGAUUUUUGUGUGAACGCAUACUUACAGGAAUACGACGCUGUCGUGCAUGGAGACUGCAUUUCAGUUGUUGCUAGUGAGAGAAGAGUUUGUUAUAUAUUUGUAUAUAAAACAUAAAGUAUAGUGUUAUUUCUUGAAUUUAACCUAAUUAGUGGUUAAAUGCAAGAAACAAAAACGUAAUCUUCUUUUAAUUGAAAUGGAAAAAAUUACAAAGCAACAAAUCCUUUUUGAGACCAUAACUUUGAGCCAUUUGGAAAAAAAAAGUUUGCUAUCCUGCAACCAUAACCAACAAUUAGACGUCAACAAAGUCUCUAUAUAAAUAUCUACAAUAAGUAAAAUUUAUAAGUAAACUUGUAGCAGCAUGACUUCUUCCAAUCACCACCAACAAUGCAUGGUAUCUCUUCACAACCUCCAGGUGUUGUCACCCCACCACACGUCGUGCCUCAUGUCUUUGGUUCACUACGACAUUAGCCAAACAACAACUUCGGUGUUGUUGCUACCAGCCAGCCUUCAGUGGUGGAGGAGAGCUCCCAAGUCAGUGACAGAAGGCCUUUAUUAUUAACUACAAAAAAUAAUCAAUAAUUAGUAUUUGGAACCGAAAGGGGAAGGUUGUAUAAGCUUCUAAAAUCUUUACCAAUGCAGAGUCUUCCAAUUAAUUUUGUGUCACAAAUGGAGGUCUAUAGCACAUGAAUAACAUUUGCUAAGUCAGAGUCAAAUUUACAACAAUGAAAUCAAUUUCUUCUAUAGAUUUUACUUCAAACACCCAUAUAAAUUGAUGGUGUUCCUCGAAACCAUUUCCUUCCUACCGCUUCCCGGUACUUAAGUACAAAUUGGUUCAUAGAACAUAUGAGAAAAACUUAAGAAUAUUGUUUUUAAAUGAAAUGGCGCUCAUUAUAAACUAUUAGUAAUUUUUAUCAUUCCAUCGAUAUAUAUCUAGUCUAAAGUGUGUAGGUAGUUUUUGAAUGCAAAGAAAGAAAGAGUCAAAUAAGAGCUAAUAUUCGAUUCAAGUAGGGGUGCAAAUAAGUUGAGCCAAGCCUGAGCUUGGUCAGGCUCGACUCGGGCUCGGCUCGUUUUUUGUCUGACGUGCCUAAAUAAGCUUAAGCUCGUCCUGGACUCAUUAAGAAGCUCGUUUAUUAAUAUCCUAAAUCCCUAAUUUACCAAACAUGUUUUUAUUUUUAUGUAUAAUAAUAAUAAUAAUAAUAAUAAUAAUAAUAUAUAAAUGCUCGUUUAGGCUCGCAAGCCUAAUCGAGCCUAGUGACAUAGGCUGAAGCUCGAGCUCGUUUAAUAAAUGAGCUUAAUAUUAAGCUCGAGCUCGGCUUGGGAUCAUUUAAAAUCGGUUUUGAGUUGAGCUUUUAAUGAGUUGAUCAUGAAUAGCUCACAAGUGGUUUGACUUGUUUACACCCCUAGCUUCAAGAACAUAAAUAAAUUCAAAAAGAAUUAUGGGUAUCUCCAUUGAUAAUGAUGGUGUUGGAGUUUUUUCACCUACUAGGCAAACCGAUCAACAUUUAAUCAAACUUACCAUCCCUAAAACUAAGAACCAAAGCAGCAAAAUAUUGGUCCAAAAUUCAGAAUUAAGCAACGAAAAAAAUAAAAAAAAAAUACAUUGAUCCUUCCGAUAUUUGUGAGGAUAAUACUGACAUAUUGGGUACACAUCUAUGCUACUAUGGUUAUCCAUUUGACUUCAUUGUAGACACGAACCGAGGAAGCGGUAAAGUCUAUGUAAAAAAACGUUCAGUACAAAAUUGAAGACAAAUAAACAAAAUACCUACUUCCUUCCAUUCAUGACUGAACGAAUCUGCUACAUCCUUCCAUCUAUGAUUGAAUAGCAACCCAUAUGUUGAAAUUAAUCUACUAAAAAAAAAAUUCAAUACAAAAUUGAAACAAUAAAGGGUCGUUAUUCACAGCUUUUGAGUCAUCAUCAGGGCUUUGAUUUAGAGAAGCCUUUCACUUAGAUUUGUCCAUGAAUUUGUGUAUUCUUGCCUGAUUAUCGUAUCAGAAAGAAGGAACACUUCAAUCCUUGUAUGUUAUAAAAAGGGAAGAAAAAGAACUGAGUUUUCUCCUACAACUAACCUCAUGUUCAAUAGCCUCACUAAUAUACAGAGUUGGUUGAACCACCGUAGCGCCACCCUGACAUGCGUCAUUCAUCAACAUGCCCAUUAAGUUGUGCAUUGCAAUUAUCAUCAUCAUAUAAUAAGGCAAAUGGUCGAAUUAUGGAGCAUAAGCCCCUCAAUUCCUACCUUCCCUGUAUAAAUCGUUCGCUGAAUAUAAGAAUGAUAAACACAUGACCGACUAGUAGCAGAUGGGUUUUUUCUCAAAGCGUCGUCACAAUUUUUUCUAGCAACAACACUCCUCAAGUUUAAAAGUAAUAUGAAUCAGACAUUGCAUCGAUGUAACAUCCCAAAAAUCACGAUAAAAUUUUUCAUUUUUCAAUUAAGGUAAAAUCAUUGUUUCCAAUCAUAACCCAAGUCAAAACCAAAUGUCAAAUACAAAUAUCCCAAAAUUAAAGUAUCAAAAAAUCUCUAAAACAUGUCACUAAAGGAUGUGUAUGAUCACGCCUUCGCCUUGCCCUAAUCAUAAGAAGUAUAUGAAACAUAACACUUAAGCUGUAAACCAAAGCUUAGUGAGUUCCCCAAAAUACCACCACACAAACAUAUAACAACAUGCAUGCAUGAGCCUUCAGUAUGAUUGGUCUGCCUCACAGGGCUUACAGCCUAUUUGGACCACUCUCUAAGCCUUCGACCUGAUCGGACCGCCUCGUAGGGCCUACAGCCUAUCCAAACCGCUCUCCGGGCCUUCGGCCUACCUUGACCACCUCGCAAGGCCUACAACCUAUCCGGACCGCCCCGGGUAUCUUGGUCUUCAACACAAAGCAGGACCACCUCAAUCCAACAAACUAUAACAUGUCGACAUAUACAAUAACAAUCAAUAACCAAGAAGUACAGGUAAUCAUACAGAUCUACCAAUCUAACACAUAAUCAAUGAACACAGGUAAUCAUAUAGAUCUACCAGUCUAUCAUAUAGCCAACAUAACAUCAUCCAAUAUACCCGAAUACAUAAUCCAGUGGGUUGGCAUUGGUGCCUUCGACCCUUAAAUACAAUGAGAAAAACUCACCUCACAGUCUGAAAGAGAGCAUAAAAGAACGUUGCUCCAAAUGUCAACUCUACAGGUCACCUAUACAACAAACAGUGACCUAAACUCAAACUACAGCUCAAAAUACCCAAAAUGACCCAAGGUCAAACUUGGUCAAAGUUAGAAAGUCAAACCCUAAGUCAAAGGUCAAAGUCAGAAAGUCAAAUAGUCAAACUGACUGAGUACGCCCUGCACACUCAGUCACUAUGUUGGGCGUAGUCAUGACUCAUCCAUCUAAACCACGGGUUUCAAACCUCGUAAGCACAGCGUACCCUUUGGUACACCCAUCGUACUCAGUCUGGGUCCAAUUCUUCUCAUUAAGUUCUUAUUAAUUAAAUACCUUUCAACCAAACUCAGAUCUAUACCCAAAACAUCAUUCUAAGUCAUAAAGUUUUCACCUUUAUGACUUUCCAUGGCUAGACAAGGUCCAAAAGCUAAAACCCUAGCUUAAUAAUCCAUUAGGACAUCAUAACUCUUACAUAGAAGGGAUAGAAGGACCAAGAUCACGUUUUUAUGGUUUAUAACACCUAAAAACGUCUGAAAGGACAACUCUUCUGGUUAGAGUAAUCCAUACUCAUGAACACCAAGAUUAUAGGACAAAAAAUGUGAUGGGUUUUGAGCUCUAUAACAUCCUUAUGGUGCAUAUACAACCUUAAUGCUUUGGAUCUAAGUUUUCUCAAGUUAUACAUGCAAUUUCAUUUUAUCCAAAGCAUAUACCCUAGCUAGCAUGCAAUUGGAGAUAUACAACUUAGAUGAAUACCUCUUAGUUGUAGCUUAUAGUUCUUGGCCUUUCAAGAGUUUAAUACCUCAAGUGUGAUACCUCAAAUGAGUCACAAACACCAAAAGCAAAUGGACGCUUAGUUGUAGCUUGUAGUUCUUGGCCUUUCAAGAGUUUAAUACCUCAGCUAGGGUUUCACCUUGGAAUCCUUAUGGCCGAUUUUAGUGAUGCUAGGGGUUUCUUUUAUAGUGUGGAAUGGAAUUCCUAGGGUUACUUCCAUGCAAACCCUAAUUCACCAUGACUCUUCACAUUUGGUAAGCCCUUUGGACUAAACCUUCAUGGACUCUCAUAUAUGUUUAUUCCAUCCCUAACCAACAUGGAUCAUUAGCCCAAACUAUAUCUAUUACUAAUUUACCUAAUCAGUCCCCGUAAAUUUAAUCAGUCUCUUUUGAUCACUAAAUUAAUUCCAAAUUAAUUCUUGAUCAAUUCCAAUUAAAUAAUAUGAUUUCUCAAUUAAUAUAUUAUUCAUAUAAUAUAUUAAUAAAUCACAAAUAACCUCUUUCUCAAAUAUCCAUCCUAUCAAAUUGCUCCGGUGAAGGCAACCCAAAAAGACCAUGCUACUAUCGGGUCAAGUACAAACCAAUUAUAGUUAUGGGCUUAGACACCCAAUCCAAAAAAAAUGAACACAAACUCAAGGCUAACAAGAUCUAUGCAAAUAACUCAUCAAGUUUCAAAGUUUAUACAUCCAAAGGAUUCUUGAGGGUGAAAUACUUAUGGAUCCAAGAUGCCUUGAGCUUCCAAGAUGAUUUCCAUUCCUCCUUCCUUCAAGAACACCAAAAAUGCACUCUCAAGCUCAAAGACACUCACACAAUGAAUUAGGGUUUGCAAGGGACGAUUUGGGAGGUGGAGGCUGAUGAGGGAAAAAGGUCUUAAAAAGUUAAUGAAUGCUUAAAUAGGGCUCAAAUCCUAAAAAUUAGGAUUUGACCCCCAGCCACGUACACCUUGUGUACGUUUGAGUAUGCCUGAACUUCCAAUAACCAAGGACUUAUGCCAAACUCGAGUCUGUUAUCAAUAAUAAUUUCACAACCAACCAUUGAGGGUACCCAUACCCAGAAUCUGAAAUGUACAAUGUACAAAUAUUGACAAUAGGUGUAGCACCUGGUUCCUGGUAUGUAAAAUUUAUCUAAAUGUUUUGCAUUUUUUAGCCUUGGACUCGGCGAGUUGUAGGCCCGACUCGCCGAGUAGAGACGAGAUAUGGAACACGUUUAUGUUGGCGACUCAGCGAGUCUAUAUUUUGGACUCGGCGAGUCCCCGCUGUCUGAUGAAACCCUAAAUUUCAAGGGCUUGCACCCUAUUUAAACCCUCUUAUCCGCCCCCAAGCUCGUCCCCUUCACCCUCAGAGCUCUCUACUUCGUCCAAGCCUUGUUCCUUGUGAGAUUGAAGCAUUUUGGUGUGUUUUCUUGAAGAUUUUGAGAGGAAAGGAGAGUAGAUCAAGAAGAGAAGAAGGAGGCCAGGCAUCUUGGUGUUACUUCAGUGAUUUCCUUGAGGUAUAACUCGGUUUCCCUCUGUUUUCAUGCUUAUAGUCCCUUAUAGCUCCAUGAAAGUCCUUCUUGAGCCUUUCCCCAAGCUUGAUUGUGUAUUAGGGUUUGCAAUAAGUUGUUUAGCCUAUAGAUCUAGGCAUGAUUGAGCUCCAGGAGCUUGAAUCUACUGCCUUUAUGGAGCCAUAUUGCAUGAAAGCCCUAGAUCUACUCUUUUAGUGCAUUUUGAGCCCUAAAACCUUCAUUGGUGUUUAUUUACACGUAAACCCAGAUCUAUGAAUGACAUGAGUUGGAUUCAAGCAAAAUCGAGUAUAUAGUAAUUGCAUGUGACAGAAUCGGCGAGUCGUUCAUCGGACUCGGCGAUUCGAGUCGCGAGUCCCCGAGUUUUCCCCUUUUUGUGUUUGUGGGGUGGAGUAAUGAGUCAUGGGGUGUGACUCAGUGAGUCGGAAGCCAGACUCACCCAUGAAGGAACUCGGCGAGUCAAUGCCCUGACUCGGCGAGUUCAAGGCAAUCUUCUUGCCUCAAGAAUAGACUCGGCGAGUUGUUCAUACAACUCGGCGAGUCUCAGCGUAGCAUGUCCUUCAGAUGAAGAUGAAAUCGACGAGUUGUUCAUACAACUCGGCGAGUAUGAUGAAGGACUAUUAGACCUUGGUUUAGAAGGAGAACUCGUCGAGUGAAUGCCUAACUCGACGAGCAGAGACGGGAUUAUGGUCAAUCGAAUGGAUAGGGACUCGGUGAGUCGGGUCAACUGGAAGUUGACUUUGACUUUGACUCUUGGUUUGGUUAAGGGUAAAUGGUCAUUUUACCCUGAGGUCGUUUAGCAGUAUUUGACUGAGUGUUUUGUGGGGAUUAUAGCCGGAGGAUUUCCAGGGCAGCAGCAGCGGAAGACAGUCAGUUCCCACACAGAUCAGCAGCUUCUUUGAGGUGAGUUAGCUUCCAGUAGCGGUGGGUCUACGGCCACAAUGUCGGCCCACCAGUAGGAGCUGUAUGGUAGAUGAUUGUCUUUGUGAUAUUCAUCUAGGGUUGCUACUACCUGUGAUAUGUUUAUGUGCUAGUAUGAUAUGAUGCUAUGUGCUAGUGACAGUAGGGGGAGAUAGCCCCCCAAAUUACCGGUCGAUAGGGCCGAAGGGACGGUCAUGCCCAGCCAUGCUAGAUAGAUUAUGAGAUAUAUGUGUUAUGUUGUAAUAGUAGGGGGUGAAAUAGUCCCCAGUACCCGGUCGAGAGGACCGAAGGGGAGACCAACCCCCAGAUAUGCUAGUCAGUAUCCGGUCGAGAAGACNGGGGGGGGCAAGCUCCCAGAUAUACUGGUCAAUAUCCGGCCGAGAGGACCAAAGGGGAGGCCACCUCCCAGAUAUAUUAGUCAGUAUCCGGUCGAGAGGACCGAAGGGGUAGGCCGGGCACCCAGAUAUGCCUGACAAUAUAUGUAUGUUAUGUGAUUGUAUGGUAUGUGGUAUGUUGGGGGAGCUCACUAAGCUUCGUGCUUACAGUUUUCAGUUUUGGUUUCAGGUACCUCUUCUUCGAAGGGGAAGGAGCUGGCGCGGUAGCGGUACAUCACACACAUGCCUUGUAUUCCGCAUUAUGAGAUCUUCCUGGGGAUUUGUACUCUGACACUAUUAUGUUUUUCUUAAAUGUUUUUCCAGACACGCAAUAUAUAUCUUUUAUGAAACAAUAUGAUCGGUGAAUGUUUAAUUCCAAUAUUUUGCUAAGUAUAUGUUUUAAAAAUGAAAUUUUUGGCUCGUAUUUUUGGGACGUUACAAUAGGUUUAUACCAUUGAUCUCCAGUUGAUAUAGCUCUAAACUUCUGAAAAACCUCUUCUAUUGACGAUGAACGAAAAGACCAACGAUCAAGAGUGCUUUGACAACUAAUACUUUGAUCCAGUACUCUACUGGAUAAAGCCCAAGAGGGACUAAACAUACCACACUCUGAAACUUAUUGAGCGAUCAACAACUGCCCAUCCUAGAUUAUAGAUAUCAAUCUAUACCACAAGCUGACAAAUUCCUCAACAAUCGAUAUUCAACUUGAGCGACCCAAAUGCCUCUUAACCUAUUCCUUGACGUUCCCGACAGGAACCAAUGGCUACAACGAGCACCUUGUCCAACAGCUUCUUGUCGCGAAGAUGAUUCUUGCAUUCCUAAGCACAUACAUAUGAUGGCAACUUGCUCUAUACCUCCGCCUUGACCAAAUCCUUAACCAAAGUUUCGCAUACUCGUUCCACAAAUCCAAUGAAUCAUUCUUCUAAAACCAUAAUUUGAACAGAUCGAUGAUUCUCCGAGCAGAAUAUCCAGCUCUCCCCCACUUAGGGUUCGAACUACCACCAACUGACAUUGCAAACAAACCAAAACUCAAACGGCUCAUCCAAAUAUAUAUCAUUCCCUGAACUUGGAAUGUAUAACACCAUGCAAGAUGAUCUUCCAAAUAAAGACCAAGCAAACUCAAAGAGAGUCUGAAUCUCAUAUGAAGACCUCGGGGACUCCCCAAUCAUGAAUGUUUCUAUCAUCAAGAAUCCCCUGCAUAUGCACAGGUAAUAAUUCUGACAGUCCAUUCAUAACACCAACUUCCUAUCUAGAAAUAAAUAGAUUACCACACUCUACGCCUACAAAUCCUCAACCGUCAAUUCAUCACGAGAAUCAUUCAUACAUACAAAAAUGUAUCAUUCUCAUAGUCAUAAUACAUGAGAGACAACAAAAGUUGUUGCUCCUGAUUCACUUCCCUGGUUACCUGGAACCAUCUGCUAGCACCUGACCUACCUAUAUCCAAAGAAAUCAGACCCCUGAUCUCAUCUCAAGGCAACUAUACCACAAGAGUAGUCUUGUGCAUUCCCACACUGUCGUACUGCCAUAAAAAACCACAAACACAUAGCCCAAUGUUGGGUCUACAUCCCAACUCUGAUAAUAACAUGUAUGCUCUCUCUAUCUUCUAUGAAUACGAAAAGCUGAAUGAACAUAGCCUUUGCUAAAGAUAGUGACAUUCUGAUCCAUCUGCCAAUCACUCAGCCUUCGGCUGCAAUCCUUGAGCUGAUCAUAACAUUCACUUUUUUCUUGAGUCUCGUGACUCAGUUGGCACUACCUCGAGCAAGGCUCUUGAGACCUCAAAAUCAACUAACCCGCCUAGAUUUUAACCAUUCAAAACUAGGGAUGAAAGUGGGUCCAAACCCUGACCGUUGGACCCGGACCUGGAAAACCCGAAACCUGGAAUUGACGGAUUAUAAGAACCGAUAACCGGACUGGUAUACGGGAACCGGUUCUGGUUCGGUUCCGAGUAUCGGAUCGGGUAAAGUGGGUAUGGAACCGGUUAGAACCGAAAAUUGAACAUUGGAACCAGAAUCAUGUAGUAGACCCGGAAACACAAAAAUGGAACCGAAAGCCUAGAAUUUUGGAACCAGAAACCUUUAAAUUUGGCUUUGAUACCACUGAUGGGUUUUGAGCAUAACAAACAAUCAUAUGUGUGCAUGCAACCCUAAUUUUCUUUGGAUUUAUGUUUUCUCUAAUUGAGCAUACAAGUAUUGAACGUCAAAGAUAAACCCUAAAAGGCAUAUACUAUUUUUGAAAUUCAUGAAAUAAGAUAGUAAACAUACAUUUAAGAUUGUUAUUGUAAACAAUCUUGAAUUCCUCAUUGAAAACCUUGGGUAGCAAGCGCCACUAGUGUCGCGCCUCUAAUGGUUCACAAAAAAAAACCCUAGAAGCCAAGGAAAACUAUAGAGACAGAGAGGAGAGAGGUUAUAAUUUCAUCCCUAGAUUCUCUAUAUGAGGCAUAAGGGUCUUUAUAUAGUGUACCAAGAAAUCCUAGAUAAGUCUCCAAAAUAACACUAUCUUAUUUUGUGUAUUUAUCUGGUUCCUAAUUAUCCUCUAAGGAUAAUUCUAGAUAUUCUAGAUCCUUUAGAACCAUGAAAAAAUGUCCAAGGAUCUCGGAUGAUUCUAGAAUGCCUCUUGUUUAACUAUUGAACAAUUACACUUUAACCCAUUUACUUUAAAUUAAUCAAAUUAAUCCCAAAAUUAAUUCUAAUUAAUUUCUGAUUAAUUCUUGAUUAAAUAAUACUAUUUUUAAUUAUUAUAUUAUUCUCAUAAUAUACUAACAAAUCAGUUAUUUUUUUAUUUCUAAUAAAUUUAUUAACCAGAUAAUAAAUUGAUAAAUCAUUCUUCUCUCUCUGACAGUCGUCCUAUUCAAUUGCCAGGUUUAAAGGCAACCCAAAGGAUUGUGCUACUAUCAAUUUAAGUUUAUAUUAAUUAUAGUUACAGGCUUAGACACCUAAUCCAACAAUUGUCAAGGAUAAAUUAUCUCGCCUGAUGAAUCGUUAAGACUGACUACAUAGCUAGGGGCCUCCUUUGUCGGGGUAAGUCAUAAAGGCUUAUAGGUCGUCAGAGUAUUUGAUGAAUAUGGUUUUCCAAUUCAUCUACGUUUAUGAGUAAUGAGAUUACACUAGCAACGUAAUUUACAAAGACUGUCUAGAAUGCUCAAGUGUUGUCACUUACUGUGUGGGGUGACCAAACAUACCGCUAACAGUUGCCUGAUCGGGACCCACCAUUUCUGGUCAUCCCAUACGGAGCUACCGUACAUCGACAUCUGAUAGUGUCAUGGAAUAGAACUUUACUCUCCGUUCCUAGGUUACGCACAUUCUCCUAGUAAGACUACCUAAUAUCAUACUUAAUUGAGCUAGGUAUAUUCCAUAAGUCUAAGUUUAGCCUUAGACUAGAUUACAGUGUCUGUAACUAACCUUAAUACCAACUCUAUUCUUGGGUGACACUAACCUAAUUCUAGUGUAUUUAUAAUCCCUACAGAGCAUUAGGUAUUAUUAUUCUUUUAUCUUCUUAGCAAUGCUACUUUUAUACUAUUAUGUGAUGUUAUAUAUUUAAUCCUAAAAUAAAAUAGAACCAUAUCUAGUUUGCACAUAGCAAAGUAUAUANNNNNNNNNNNNNNNNNNNNNNNNNNNNNNNNNNNNNNNNNNNNNNNNNNNNNNNNNNNNNNNNNNNNNNNNNNNNNNNNNNNNNNNNNNNNNNNNNNNNNNNNNNNNNNNNNNNNNNNNNNNNNNNNNNNNNNNNNNNNNNNNNNNNNNNNNNNNNNNNNNNNNNNNNNNNNNNNNNNNNNNNNNNNNNNNNNNNNNNNNNNNNNNNNNNNNNNNNNNNNNNNNNNNNNNNNNNNNNNNNNNNNNNNNNNNNNNNNNNNNNNNNNNNNNNNNNNNNNNNNNNNNNNNNNNNNNNNNNNNNNNNNNNNNNNNNNNNNNNNNNNNNNNNNNNNNNNNNNNNNNNNNNNNNNNNNNNNNNNNNNNNNNNNNNNNNNNNNNNNNNNNNNNNNNNNNNNNNNNNNNNNNNNNNNNNNNNNNNNNNNNNNNNNNNNNNNNNNNNNNNNNNNNNNNNNNNNNNNNNNNNNNNNNNNNNNNNNNNNNNNNNNNNNNNNNNNNNNNNNNNNNNNNNNNNNNNNNNNNNNNNNNNNNNNNNNNNNNNNNNNNNNNNNNNNNNNNNNNNNNNNNNNNNNNNNNNNNNNNNNNNNNNNNNNNNNNNNNNNNNNNNNNNNNNNNNNNNNNNNNNNNNNNNNNNNNNNNNNNNNNNNNNNNNNNNNNNNNNNNNNNNNNNNNNNNNNNNNNNNNNNNNNNNNNNNNNNNNNNNNNNNNNNNNNNNNNNNNNNNNNNNNNNNNNNNNNNNNNNNNNNNNNNNNNNNNUUAUAUAAUAUUAUAUGUUUAUCCUAAUGUAAAUUAGCACCAUAUUUGGUUCAUACAUAGCAUGUUAUAUAUCAUAACAUAUAAUCCAAGCAAUAAGCACAUAAUUCACAUAUGACUUCGAGAAGAUAUUUAAUAUUUUAAUUAAUACUCGUAUUAAAUCAUGUUUAUGAAAGGGACUAUGCACUCCCUUGACAAAGUGUCUGGUGAUUGAUGAAUUCGGAAGAGCUUCGCCUUACACCUUUUACCAACAGACCUAGAUAUACAUAACAUUAAGUCUUAGUCUAAUUUCAUACUUCAUGGAACUAUUAUCCUAAGGUUUUAGAUUCCUUAAUAAUACCAAAGUCUACUUCAAGAUCUUAAUAAGGAAUACAUAGGUAGGAUCAUAUCGGAGGUAGGGUCUGUUUGGUAUAUAGAGUACACUGUUUGGAAAUCUCAUUUUAAACACCUCACUAAAUCCAACCUAGACAUCACUCUCGUAAGUGGAUCAAUCAGUAUAACGACAUGAAAUUACUGAUAAAUAUUAGUUAUAGGUUCAUAAUAACGACUUAUGACCAUAAAUAUACGUUACGCUGAAAAUAUAGAGUGUAGCUUAAGUUACAAAGCGUUUUAAGCGAAAACCGGGAAAACGCACGGACAUGACUCUGAAACCGAAAGCUUCUUUUUACCGGACUCGUAGACCUCUCAAAACCUUUGCUAAAUACGCAAGGGAAACCCAAAAAAAUGGAUUUGAAGUAUCAUGGAGUAUGGAGAGAGUUUUAGAAGUUUUGGGUGAGAAAUGAAGUGAAUUCGUGAGGUUUAUAUAGGCUGCAAUGGGUACGCGUCGCGCCCCUAUACUGUGCGUGCUGCACACUUGGGGUCUGCUGGCUCCAUUCCCUUUUUGCCACGUCUCGCCGCCCAGAUAAGCCACCUCUCACUCUUCUAGAAGGUGCCACGUGCCACCAUUUCCAUAGGCCAUGUCGCCUUGUCUUCGUGGGAGAGGGGCGUCCGACACUACCACGUGUCUCCCUCGGAGAAUGCCACGUCAACGAUGCAUGUCGCGCACUUCGCGUGUGCGAUUUUCCAGAUUUUCAAAAUGCCGUAACUUCUUCAUACUAGCUCCAUUUUUUAUGUUCUUUAUAUCCCCGGAAAGCCCUCGACGAGAUCAACAACUUUCGUUAGACCGGGGUCGACUAAUUUUGACUUUAUUUAUAAAGCUAUAUUUUUAGCAUGCUUAGACUGUUAAAGUCCGUUAAAAAUUCAUAACUUUUUUAUAUGAUAUCCGUUCUCGACUGUCUUUAUAUCAAUGAAACCAUAUGGACGAGAUCUUCAACUCUAGUUUAGAUUGUUUUCCCUAACAAUCAACCGACCUUUACUUUGGUUUUCUGAGCCGUAUACGGUUGCGUUGAUACUUCGAAAAAUCAUAACUUCCUCUUACAAAGUCAGAUUUGAACGUUCUCUAUAUUCUUACUCUCGGUUUAACGACUACUACGACUUUCGUUUAGACCUCUUAGGCUAAAAAAUAAUUUAUCCAAAAUUCACUUUUUACGAUACACAAAGUCGUGCUAGUUUAAUCGCAAAACUUCGAAGAAGCAUAAUUUCUUCAUACGAAGUCGGAUUCCAACGUUCUUUAUAUGUAUUAUAUGUACAUGACCCUUGUCACAUACAUUAUAACUUUGGUUAAGGUCAUUUAUCCUAAAUAACCUUUUAUCAAAAAGUCAUUUUUAUAACUAUUCUAUUUAGUUGACUAGCCCAAAUCUGCAGACGUUACAAAUUACAUCCACAUGAUAAGACUUUUGACAUUUCCAAAUCUUUUUAAAAAAUAAUCACAUCAUCAUUAAUCAACUCCUAAUAAUGUUUUAUAAUUUUAAAGGUAAAUCCAUCUGGCCUCGUAGCCUUUUUAGUUCUUGUUUCUAUAACACCAAAUCACUUGUUUAAUGGUAAGGGUAUUUGUUGAGUUAUGAGGAUUUAAUGAGUACAAACUUAUAAGACAAAACUUCAAAAAUGAUCCUUGUGGUUUCCGAAAAUAUCAAGUUUAGUCACUAAGUUCAAAAAACCUCACGGAUCGUCCCUGUGGUUUCAAAACUUUUAACAUUUGGUCCUUCCGGCUAACUUCGUUACCAUUUAGACGUUAAGUCAGGGGCAUUUUUGUCAUUUCACUACACAGUGACCAUUUAUGAGGUUUUUAAUUACUUUUUUUAAAAAUAAAUAUUAAAGGGGUCCCAAUCACUCUCUCUCUCUCUCUCUCUCCAAAUUAAAAGUCUAAACUUCAUCUAGAUCUGCCACCACCACACUUCAUCCAAAGUCCAAACAUACAUAAAAAAUUGUAUUCCGGCAAACCCCUUCGUCUUUGGCAUAUAUCGACGCUGUCAUUCAUCAGGUCUCGCCAUCUCACUGGCCUCACCAUAGUUGGGGCUACCACCACCAUCAUCAUCGUCUAAGAAACCAGUAUGUACCCAAAUGGCCAAACCUACCCCUCUCUUCUAUAUCUCUCUACCACUCUCCCUGUUCCUUCCCUAGAGUGAAAACCCCAAACAACCUCCACUACAGUCAAUUGCCCAGCUCCAUGCCUCUCUCGUUCUAGUGGGUUAGAUUUGCUCGUGAAGAUCACUGGAGACACCCAAAAAUGAAAAGAAGCUGUUGCCGCCUCUCUCCUCUGAUGCUUGCCAGAAAACGCCGAUGUCCCCGACAACCCUCCAUCUCCCUCCUCUCUGUCACCAACAACAUUCUAGCAUCAGACGAACUGAACCCGACGAACAGGAGUCCAACUCCCUUUUCUAUUCAAAUCACUUCUAAAAUCCAUAAAUCACAUUCAUAUCUUUUGAUUUUGAGUUCUUUGUUGUUCUUAGAGUUCUGCAUUUUCUUAUUAUUCUCGUUCUAGUGUUUAAUCCUUCUCUUAUUUGACUCUAUUUCUUCAAUUUCGUAUUUCCCCCUUAUGCAUGAUAUUUUUAUUUGCUGAACUGGAUGUAUAAGGGGAAGGUUUAAUUCGCAUGCUCGGGAUAUUGAUAGUUUAAUAAAUGGGUUGGAAAGUGGGGAAGAUAAGUCGUGCACUGAAGGUGUUCGACGAAUUGCUUGAGAGAACAUCUUUGCCAACAUUCAGAAUUUUGAGACACUGCAUCGGAUUUUCCAAUGAACAAAUCCCUCCAAAGUUUAGUGAGAGAGAGUGUGUGGUUGGGUUCUUGAUGAUCGUCGGUAAUUGGAGAGAGAUAGAGAGAGAGAGAGAGGGAGAGAGAGAGAGUCCUUUAAUAUUAAAUAAUUAUAUUUUUUAUUAAAUAAGGCAAAAACUUCAUAAAUGGUCCCUGUGGUAGUGAAAUGACAUUAAUACCCUUCACUUAACGGCCAAAAGCUAACGGAGUUAGCGAAAAGGACCAUUUGUUAAAAGUUUGGAAACCACAGGGACCAUCUGUGAGGUUUUUUGAACUUAAGGACUAAACUUGAUAUUUUCGAAAACCACAGGGACCAUUUUUGAAGUUUUGUCAACUUAUAAUUCAAUGUAUCCUUUUAAGUAUCCUUUUAAGUAUCCUUUAAUAUUUUAAUUUAUUAUAAAUAUAUAUAUUUGCUUGUGUUUGUUAUGAUUUGUGUAGGAGGAUAUAUUGUGAACAAUUUGUAUAACUAUUGGGAUGAUUUGAUACUAUGGUAAAGAUGUGUACACGUAGGUUAUAUUUGACCCGUAUUGUUGACCAUGACCCAAAUUUGACUUGUCAAAGAUAUAUAUAGGAUAUUUGUGUAAGGAUAGAGUUAGACUGAUAUUUUUUCUGUACGUAUAUCUUCAUCUUUCUCUCAUCUUUAGAGUUCAUAGUGUUCUUCUUCUGUUUCUUAAUCAUUCCUUCACAGAGUGUAUAGAUUAGUUGAGUGAUCUGUAGUGAGGUUGAUUUGUAGAGAGAAGAGAGUUGAUGUAGUGAGGUUUUGAUUUGUAAGUAAACGUGAAAACCUUCUGGCUCUUAAUAAAAUAAGAGCUGUUGAUGUUGUAUGUUUUGUGUUUGAGUUUCUUUUUUGUCCAAAUCUGAAAGCCUCUUGAAUAUGUUGCUAAUCAACUUGGGCUAAUUUUAAAUGAGUUCAUCAAAUUUAUUGGAAAUGAAAUCCCGAAUCUCGUUGACAAUUCUAGAUUACUCUUUCACUCACCCUUUUAUAGAGGCCAUUGGUCUAUAUCUUUCUUUUAUUGUUGUUAACGACAUUAUAAAUUUGACAAUAUGAUGGUGUUUAUAGAUAGCAACAGAGGGAGACCUUUACGAUUGAAAGUAUAUAUAUCAUCUCAUCAAAAUCAAGGUUCAUAUUACAGUAUGUUGAAUAUAUAGGCUCCUGGCAUGUGGAUUAAAAGAAAUAUGAAUUCCUUGCAACUUCAUCGCCAGUCACCACUGCUUUAUAUAUAUUAAGAAUUAGUCCAUCAAAUUAAUAUAUACGAAUAUUGGAACACUAGGUAUGAGACACAUGUAUUACAUGAGUUUAUUUAAAAGAAAAAACUAAAUAUAAAAUUAUAAACAUUUGAGAAAUUUAAAUUUAUAAGAAAAAUAAGAAAAAUAUUGAAUUACAAAAAAUAAAGUGUUUUUUCUCUAAAUUUAAACAAAUAAUAAUUUCGAUAAAUAAAUAAAGGAAAUUAAUGAAGCUUUAAUUUAGUAAAUUUGAAAUUAAAAGUAAAAUUUAUUAAGGAAAUUAACAUGCAUUUAUUAUUGUAUUUAAAAUUAUGUGGAAUUAAUAAAAUAGAAAAACCAUAAAAUGACAUGUGGAAUAAAAAUUAAUUCAAAAUAAUCAUAAAAUGACAUUUGACAAAUUGAAUGAGAGUGUGACAAGUGGCAAAAAAACCUUCAUUUAUUAGAGUAAAAAAUAGUCCCACAAGCAACAAAUCAUAGUCAUAACCAUAAAGGAGAGGGUAUAAUUACCAUACAUAUUAAAUACUCAAGCUGCAACUUACCAUACAUAUUAAAUACUCAAGCUGCAACGUAUUACCAACGCAUAACUAAGAGCGUAAGUUCAAUGGGAAAGUUGGAUAAGUUGACAAAUGUAUUUGUCAUUUAAUAGAUGAAACUCUAUUAUUAUGGGAUGCCAUAUUGACAUUCAAUGGAUUUGAAGUUCAAUGGUCAUUAAACUUUUCAAUAGAAAAACAAACGUUUGUAAGUCUUAAAUAAUAUUAUAAAUUAGCUUUUAUAAUGUUUUUAUUGAACUUUCUAAAGUUCAAUGCGUUGUAGUAGGAAAUAAAAUGAUAAAGUUAUAUGAAAUAUAGAAUUAUGACGUGACAAUUCAUUAAACUUUAUAAAAUUUAAUACAUUCUGAAUUUCCUAACACUAUUAGAAAUAGGGAUUUCAGAGACGGACCAAUCCGUCGCAAUUCCGUCGCUAAAGGACUUCUGCGACGGAUCAUCGGCAGACAUACUCUAUAGCUGAUUUAAGUGUGGCUAAUGACUUACCGAUGGAUUUAGCAACGGAUUACUUAUUCCUUGCAACGACCUUAGCAACGGAAUAUCCGUCGCAAAUACGUCACUUAACACGUUUAUUUAUGACAUCGGUGACGAAACUCAAUAAAAUUUUUCUCGUCGUUGAUCCCUCGCAAAACUCUAUCUCUGUUUUUUUCUAUAUUCUGUCGCUGAUCCCUCACAAAUAUGUAUAUAAUUUUUUUUUGUAUUAUGUAUCUAAAACAAACAAAAAACCAAAAACAUCAAACAAUUACUCAAUCCCAAUCCAAUAUCAUUUAAAUCCAUAAGCAUUAAAUAAAUAUACAAUCUAAAACAAACAUUAACAUUAAAAUACUAAAGUUAAACAUUGAUUGAUAUUUGAUUUCAUAAUAUAAUGUACGAAAAUUCUCAAUUUCCUAUCAUAUUUUGCAUUUCAUCAUACAUAUUAUCCAUUCCUACAUAUCUUGCAUCCAAAAGAAUGAUUGGAAUGGAAUUGGAUUCCAAUUCCUAUUAAAUCCCAUGGAAGGAGAAGACUUGUUUCAGGGUCCAGCAAGAUUACUGUUUUCAGGUUCACCAAAAACUUCCAUUUGAUAGUGUUUUGUUAAAAGAAUGGAGACUGAUUUUUGAUCCUCUGUGAAAGAAACAAAAAGAUGAGUCAUUUGAAAGAAAAAAAUGUAUAAAAGUAUACCACAUUUUUAAAUGUACAUACCUAAGCUCCAGAAACCGUCAUCAACUUUAACAGACUUGUACAAGUCCCCUUGUAUUUAUAUAUAAAAAAAGGGUUAUUGAUAUAAGCUUAUCAUAUUAUUAGAAUAAAUCUAUAAUUUCAACAAUAGCAUGUUAAAAUAAUAAUAUAAAUGCCACUAGCAAACUUACAUCAAGAAUCGGAGGUUGGCCCUUAAGUCCCACUUUCAAAUGGUUCUUUAUUUCACAUAAAAUAAAUCUUGACUUUGUCCCAGGAGGAACAGGGAUAACUUCUAGCAAAGAUUGAAUCCAUGAAUAGUUUUCUUUAUUGGGUUACUUUCAAAGUGGGAUGACUGGAAUGAAAUUGAAUUUCGAUUCCGACCAAAAUUUAAAUGGCCGAUCUAACCUUCUUUAUAAGCACAAUUACAGGUACCACCCAAGACAUAUGAAAGUUCACUGCUCACAAAUAUGAAAAACAAAUAAAAGUAUAUUAAUGAAUUUUAUAUUAAUGAAGUAUUAUUUCAUAAAACAAUAAAAGUACCUGCCAUCAAGCAUUUCAAGGAGCUUGUUUUGAUAUUUUCUGCCCAAAACCUACAUGUAAAUAGAGUCAUUAACUAGCAACUCAAAGAUCUUUUACAAAAAAAGAUGUAGUUCUCUUUUAGCUCAAAAACUAGGAAAGAACUUAUAUGAACUUUGGAUCAAAGAAGGAUUUGACUGAAAUAGGAGAACAUAUUUGAACACAAAAUCCUACAAAAGUAGAUUAAGAAGAAAAUAUAAAUAAUAAUAUUCAUGUAAAGAUAAUUAAUAAGAAUCAUGUAAUGUUAAUUCAGAGAAAUGUCCAUGAAAAACAAAACUAAAUAGAAAAAGAAAACACAUAAAAAUAAGAGUAAGAGAGUUACAGAUCUGGUCCUUGUGUUUUACUCAAAAUCACAAGUUUAGUCCAUAAUUCAAAUCUUUUUCAGUUUGUGUCCUUUUUUCAUGGUUUGGUAUCAAUUUUGGUUCUUGUUUCAACUUAAGACUUUUUAUCCUUGUUUUUUUUACAAUUCUCUAUUAUAAAUUUAAGUUCUAUGAUAUUAUAUUAUAAAUUUAUAAUUUUGGCCCACCCACCCCCAAUAAAAAAGAUUAAUUAACUUGAGAAAUCGACCAAAAUUGAUACUAAAACAUGAAAUAAGGAUGAAAAUUGAAAAAGAUUUGAAUCUUGGACUAAAAAUGGAUUAUCAUGUUUAUUACCUUUUUGCCCUUGAUGUAACAGUAACUCGGUCAGAAAAAUGUCCAUUUCUGUUGUCCAAUCAGUUCUUGAUCUCUCAGUAUUAGAAGAAAUUACACCUUGUAUCCCACCACCUAAACAACAAAAAUAAUAUUACAUAUAGUUAUUUUUAUAAUUAUAAUUUUAUAGCAAUAACAUGCAAAUACAAAACAAUUUGAUGUGGUGGAAUAUUAUAACAGAAAGAAACGAAAUGAAAGUAAGAUGCAAACAUAUAAAUGAAACAACACUGUUCCAAGUUCAUUAACUUCCAUGGAUUCUUCACUCUUAUAGAAGAUAACAAAAUAUGUGUUAGAUAUAAGAGAAAUUGACAAAGCUUGGUGCUAAGAUGAAUACUGAAUUAAGCCAUUUAAUUUGCUACUAGAUAUCUAGAACAAACUUCUGAUGAACAUUAAACCUUGUACAUUUUCAUUAUCAUAUAUAAGUUCUACAACUGGAAAUUAUAGUUGAUUUGUACUAUGGCAUGAUUCAGUAACAAAAAAGAUCAAUAGAUGGACAAUUUACCAGGAAAACAAGAAGGAAAUUGGUCACAAAAAUGGUACCUGCUUCGCCAGUGUUAACAAGACCACCAUGCCCCUAACAAAAAAACACACAAAUAUGAGACAAGGCUUUUACGUUUUAAAUGAAAUGAAAUUGGCACAACAUAACAACAGGAAAGCAACUAUACACCACCAGAACACAGUUUAAAUGAAAUGAAAUUUUUUUAGCACUCCAUGGUUGUGUCUACCAUAAUCCUUCCUCCAUUUUAUAAUAUCAACCAUAUUUGUUUUUCUUCUCAAUAUCAAACUACCUUGCCUUCGAAAAUCUGUUUCAUCAAUCAUCAUGUCAGAAUAUCAACCACUGUUAAUCAAACCAACAUUUCAAAAUAGUAAACUGAUACACCAAGAACAAACUCAAAAAGGGUUAAUUAUGACCUUAACAUCAUGCGGUAAGGAAAACUUAUACUUCUUCUCCUCGAAGUAGUAUUCAAUCUGGUAUCCCCUUGUCGAAUCAGUUCAAAUCUAGAAAAAAAUCCAUAUGCUAACUAUAUAAUCUAGAACAUACAAAUUAGAGUUAAGAUGAUAAUCACUAGGAAAACCCUAGGAAAACCAAAAUUAAAGAGUUAAAGAAGGAAAAUAUUAGAAAACGAGCAGCGAUAUGAGCUAGAAAUGAAAGAGAAGUAAGAGAUCUACAUGGAAAUGCAACUUACGCACUACUAGAAAUUAACCAGAAUUGGAAGCUGAUGAAGAAUACUUUAGAUUUUCUCGAGUUUACACGAUCUGAAGCAGCAAUGGAUGAACCAACAGAUCGAAUCAGAUCGACUGGCUUUGAUAGGGAAACGAAUGAGUCAAUAAGGAAGGGGGGUGAACCGAGUGGAAAGCCAAUGAGGAUGUGAUUUCUGAGAUUUUCCUUUGACGAGCUUCAAGUGUACUUCAGGGAGCGAUGCAGAGAGGGGCGAUGCAAGUGGACGGCGGUGGAGGUGAUUUCUUAAGGCGGAGGAGUGGAUUUCAGUCGAUAUUAUAGAGGUUUGAUUAGGGCUUCAGGAAGAAAUCAUUUAGGGCUUGAAGAAAUCGUAGGGAAUGAAAAUAGAAGGAGGGAACGAAAAAGAAAGAAAAGCGGGAAUGAAAAAUAACAUGAAGGAAGAAAAAGAAAUAAAAAAAAAAGAGGCUUUUGAUUUUCUACGAGGGAUUGGCGAGGCCCAAGAAAAAAAGGCUUGUGAUUUUAAGCAAUGCGUCGUUGUUCCCUAGCUAAAAGGAGUUAAUUUUCGAUAGAAUAGCGACAAACUGUUUUUUGUCGAUAAAUUCUUACUAUUCUGUCGCUAAUCGCUUGGUAAUACCUCUCAAAAAUUGUAUAAGUUUUUUUGGUCCAUAUCUUUAUGUUUUCCACCGCGGAUCUCUCAAUAUUUCCUCACUGAUUAGCUACAGAUUGAAUCCGUCGCUGAAUUUUGUCGCUGAAGGUCAAGUUUCUAGUAGUAAUCCAUAUGAAAUAUAUUAUCAAGUCGAGUCCACAUGUGACUUGUCAUAGUAAUUAUAUGUUUCUUUAAUAAAAAAACCGGUUGCCUAUUUUAAUGGCGAUUGAGCGGAUGUCCCUCCACAUGCGAUUAUCAAGUUCGUGAAUGAUAUUGGCUUCACAAUCUUCAUUGCGAGCUUCGCUCUUUGAUUAUCAAAAAUCUACCAUAGCUUAUGGUAAUAAUAUGCAAUGCUGUUUACCUUUUGUCCUUUCUUUGCUCAAUAUCAAUGGACCAAUUUACUUAGUCCAAGACAAAUUAGCAAUUCCUGUCUUUGCUCAAUAUUAAUGGACCAAUUUACUUAGUCCACGACAAAUUAGCAACAGGAGAUGUUCUCUUUCUUAUAUACUUUGUUAUUUUGAUUAUGCUAUACCUUAAGCCUUCCAUCUUGACUUUUUACUAAUUUUCAAUCCAAAUUGAAUGUUCACUCUUCGAUUCGACUACGAUCAAACUGAAAGAAAAUAUUAAUAUAUUACACUUUACGUUAGACUUUUCUUGUUAUUUGUAUGUAGCCCGUAUAGCUCUUGCCAAAUGGCCCAUUGUCUUGAUGUUUUUAUUGUACCACAAUUGCAAUACAAUUCACUUCUAGAAAAUAUACCAAGAAUUGCAACACUUAGCAUCAUUAAGAAGCUGAUCAUAAAUUGAUCAAAUGAUGGAGAAGAGCAAUAGACAACCUAGAAACACUUCGCAUAUUAAUUAUAUAUAUUCUUACUCAAAAACAUUCCGUGCUCGGGGUUUGAUGACGCUAACAAUAUACCAGUUAACCUGACUUCACAGAACUCGAUUUGGGUUAGUGUUGUUUGUUGGAGGGGCAUCACAAGAGAAAGAGAAAACGAUGGUUGAUUUAAGGAUGUAGAUGGAAAAUGGGAUGGUGGUAGCCGACUGUGGAACAUAAAGCAGUAAAGUGGAGAUCGGAGAAGGAUACAAUUUCUUAAAAUAUUUUUAGUUUUACAUAUAUAAAAAAAAUUAGAAUUUAAUAAAAUUAAAAAAUGUGGCAACAAGUAUGCCACAUCAACAACAUGAACUAGUUUGGUUUUUUAUCAUGUAAACAAAUAAAGAAUGUGAUUGGAUGGUUAUUAUAAAUAAAAAACUAUAUUUAUUUUAAAUGAAAAUGGUAAAGUUUCACACAAUUUACUUUUAAAUAUAUAAUACCUGAUUUUGGAAAGAAAGUUAUUGAUUGCUUCCUACAUAUUUGCAUGGUGGAUGGUUGCAAAGUAAUUGUGUGGUUGGUGGGUUUGCUUACAAUAAUCCUAUGCGUAUCUGAUGAUAUCGACCAUUUCUUAGUACGACACGUGUCUCCUUUCCUUCUUGCCACAUGGCCCACUCCAACUCCUCUCGUCCGUCAAGAUUCAUGGUGGUCUCCGUCAACGGACCCACGUUCACCAUAAGAUAUUUUUUUUAAAUAACCAAACCCUUUUUUUAAUUUUUGUUAAUUUUUAUAAACUCACACAAUACUUUUCAAAUAAAAUUAUAUCAAAUCUUUGAGUAUUAUUAUUUCAUAAAAAAUAUGGUGUAUGAAUUUUAAUGUAUUCGGUAUACGUUCUUGUUUUUAAUUCAUCACAUGCUAAACACAUUGAAGAAAAGAUAUCCAUAGAAAACACAUGCAAACUCUAAUUCCUAUUUGUGGAUGUAGGCAGCAUGUGGCAUUAGCAUAAUAAAGACAGUUUUAUUACAUAUAGAUUAAUAAAUAUAUUAAAAAGAUAAGCAAUUUUAUUUAAAGAGUGUAUGAAUUAUUGGAGGAAUGGAGGUCACAUGAGCAAAAAUAUGAACCACACACGUUGGUAUUAUUAUAGUUGUACUUGGGGUCUGGCAACCACCAGUUUCUCCGCCUCUCUCGCCUCCUUUUCUUACCAUUCUUCUCUUCUCCAUUAAUAUAUAUACCGUGUAAACCUCCAUGCAUCUUCAUAUACUCUAACUUGAUCUUCUCCUUUGAAGUUUUAACCAUGAAACUAAUACCUACACUGUGUGAUCUCUGCCAUCAGCAACAACCUUCUUUCUACUGUUCUUCCGACUCCGCUUUCCUUUGCUCCGACUGCGAUUCUCAUGUUCACGCCGCCAACUUCCUCGUUGCUCGUCACAUCCGUCUUUCCCUUUGCUCUCACUGCAAAUCCUUCCAUGACAUGAAUUCCUCCUCUUCAUCUUCGUCUUCAUCUUCAUCUUCAUCUUCAUCUGCAUCUUCCUCUUGUAUCUCGGGUAACAACUGCUCCACCAAGAUGACGACCAUGGUUUCCGACUGGAAGACGAGGGAUUUGCUGGUAAAUUGGUGUACGAGGCUCGGGGUUAGUGGUGGCGUGAGAGAGGUGGCGAGGCUUGCUUUUGAAUCGUGGUUGGCGUAUAGGUGGGUAUGGCCGUAUCGGGUGGGGUUGGCUGCUUCCCUUUGGCUGGGAAUGAUGAGAUGUACAAAGGACGAUGAGAAGAAGAGGAUAAGAAUGCGUAGCUUACUGAGCAAGUUAGAGGAGAUCUCCGGUGUGCCGGCGAGGUCGAUAGUGGUGGCGGAAUCAAAACUUGCGAGCAUGUUGAAGAUGAUGAAGCAUCGGCGAGGCCAGCAACAUGAUGAGGAGUCUGUGGAGGAGGGCUGGGCUGAAUGCUGAAUUAAACUGGUUGAUAGAAUUGCCGUAUAUGGUAUACAUGCGUGUAAAAUGGAGAUUUGGUUUGUAGCAAGAGAUUAAUACUGAAUUAAUUAAUUAAUAUACCUUCAUCUUGUAGUAGUUGAUGUUUCAUAAUUCAUAUCAUGAACGGAUUUGUCGUAGUAGCAUUUCACUUGCUCCUCAAUUGCUGAUAAGAAAAGAAAAAAUGAAAAAAAAAAGUGUGAAAAUACAUAAAUGAUUCUAAAAUCAUACACCAUUGCUUAAUUUAUGCUAACACAAUUUUUAGUGUAAAACUGUAAAUGAGUUCCAAAUCAACAUCAUUUUUCUACCUACAUCAAAUUUGAUGUUAUAAAUGCUAGAACUGAAUAUAGUCUUAUAUUAUUCAUUGGCAUUAAGUUUGAUGUUACCGUUUGUCAGUUAUAUAUUUUUGUUUGCUUGUUCAAUAUUAAUAAUUAGUAAUUAAUUUAAUUAUAUACUUAUAUUUUGGUAUAUGCCCGUCGCUAAAUUAUACGUGUCCAGUGUCCACUUCUAAUCUCAACAAUUUGUCGUAAAUGUUAUGUUUUUUUUUCUAACGCUGGUUGGUGUUGGUGCAUGUGUUUGAUGUUGUGAUGCUGUGCUCCACUUGUCCUUCUUUACUUUUUUUUUUUCAUUAUUACAAUUAAACAUUGAACCCAAUUCUCUCAUACUAUAUAACCUUCUAAUUGGGUUGUGCUAGUGUUUGAAGUGAUCAAGAUAUAUUAAUUGUGAUCAAGAGAAGUAAAGUAUUCUAGUUAUCAAAGAAGAAAUUAUGCUUCUGGUAGAGUUUGGCUUUGAUCCCUCGAGAAGAUUAAUACCAAAGUGUCUUGAUUUGCGACCAUCCAAAAUUAACGAUAUAUGCUUUGAGUUCAUCCACAAUAUAGAGGCCCCCUUGCCUACCGCUUGUCCCAAUUACCUUCUAAAAUCAUACACAUAACAAAAGGAAGAUCAAAGUAAGUUAAGUAACCACAUUAUCAUAACUGAAUCAUGAUAGCAUGAUUUAGAGGAAGACAAAGAAUAAAGCAAAUACUAGAAAGAGACACAUAAAGGGUAACAACAAAACCAACACCUUCCAAUGACAUAGAUGCACUAUUAGCAAUCAUAAUAGAUAUACACAUACUAAAAAGAUAUGUAUAUAUGUAGAACGGUGAAAAAUAGGGUGACGUCUGAUAAGAUGCGCCAUAAUACAAGAUAUGUAUAUCUAUAUAAGACCCCUAGGCUAUGGAAAUCGGCUACACUUGCUUCUAAGAGAAUCCUAGGGCCGAUUUUAGCAUCUCUCGCCCUCUUUCAUAUUGCCUUCUUGCUUGUGGGGUUUGUGAACCAUUAGAGGAGUUACAAUUGUGACUCUAAGCUCAAGAUCAAGAAGAUUACAAGGAUUCAAGCAACUUGAAAGAGGUAAAACACUUAGAUCUGUUUUCUUAAUGAUAAUUUCGAAUUAUAUAUGAUAGAUCUAGGUUUGUAAGUCUUGGAUUCAAAGCAUGUACAAUAGAGAAACCUAGAUCCAAGCAUUAGGGUUUGUAUGAGCACAUAUGAUUGUUCUUAUGCAUAAAACCCAUCAGUGGUAUAAGAGCCUUGAUUGGUUUCAAUUGUAUGUGAUGCUUUAACUAUUUGCUUGUUGAAAAUCGUGUUUUCUUGCCUCUGCCCGACUCAACUCGGCGAGUCAGUAUCUGGACUCGGCGAGUCUAGGUCUGACUUGGCGAGUCUGUGCGUCAGGCAGUGGAUAUUUCGAGAUUUAGUUGCUGUUUUGUCAUGGAUUUGAUGCCUAAAUCGUUUUUUGAAGUUAAAAUCCGAAUUUUACUUUAAUUAAAUGAUUAUCCCUGCCAAAACAAUAGAUAAUUUCAAAUCUUUUGAAUACUAGUUGUUUAUAUGAUAAAUAUGGAUUAUUUAAAAUUAUUUGGUAAUUAUCUUAUGACUAAAAUUGGAUUAUAUCAAAUAUAGAUAAUUCUGAAAUUAAUUGUUUAAUUUAAAUUAUUUUUUAUUUGAUCUCUUUUGUUUUGAAAAGUUCAAAACUUACCCUCAAGUUUUGAAAUUUAAAUUUUAUGAUUAAAAGUUUAAUUUUGAAUAAUUUAAAUUUCAAACCCUUAGAAUAUUACAAGUUUAAAAUUCAACCCUAUACUAUUAUAUUAUUACAAGCUUAAUUAAUAUAUAUGUAUAACUUAAAAUGCUAGUCUUAUCGUUAGUAGGCCUCAUUCACAAAUCCAAUCUAUAAGGUGGGUAUAAGGUUGCUGCCUAUAAAAUGGCGCUUAAUCGGUGUACACUCACACCCACCGCUUGCUUGACUGGUGGAGGGUCGUUAGCCGAACGGGUAGGAUAGGGCAAUCCUCUCCUCAUUAAAACUACAAUGUAAGAUACAAAGUAACUACAUGUUUUACAACUUCCCAAUCUUAGUUACUUUAGGGUAAAAUGUGANCAGAGUAAUCGUUUAAAGAAAACUGUUGCGGAAUUUGUUCCCAAAAACAAAAAUAUGAUAACCAUUUAUCCAAACAUUUCUCAAAGAGAAUGUAUUUUCAUUAAAUAAUAAAACCUUGGGAUGUCAUGUUCGAUACAGACCAAAAGCAUAAACAAUAUAAAAUAGACCUUACAAUAGUUAUUUAACUACUGAUCUAUAAUCCAAAAUCUCUCGUCAAGUCCACCAACUUAUACCCUUGUGCCAUUACCUGUAAUGAAAAGAAAACUGAGUGGGUCAGGCUUGGGAGCCUGGUGAGCAUAUAGGGUUUUCAACCCACAAUAAUAUAAUUAUUAUAUUUAAUCAGCAAACAAUCAACCCAAUUACCCAUCCUUAUUAUCUUCUCAAGGUUUUACCCUAAGAAUCCAACUAUCAUUCAUUCAUUUAUUCCUAAGGAAUUGGCACGAAAUCCAUUGCUGCCAAAGUUUAUUUAUCAAGUACUAAAUUCAUAGCUAUCAGGCGCUAACUCCAUAGUCACCAAGGUUCACUUAACAAGCGCUAACUCCAUAGUCGCCAAGGUUUACUCAACAAGCGCUAACUCCAUAGUCGCCAAGGUUUACUCAACAAGCGCUAACUCCAUAGUCGCCAAGGUUCAUCAAAUAGGCACGAAGUCACAUCGUCGCCAAGGUUUAUACAAUAGGCGCUAACUCCAUAGUCACCAACUAUCCCAUCUACCCAAGUUCUACCCAACAUUUUCGUAGAUAUAAAUACUUACACAGUUUAAAUCAUUUAACACUUGUAUAAAACAUCAAUUCCACGCCCAUCUCAAAUAGACAAAUAAUAUAUAAACACAUAGCACGUAUUUCAUAGCAAAUACUUCAUAUUUAUGUGUUAGAAGAAAGUAA